rnacentral:lncRNA from 1 species
AAACUAUUAGUCCUAAGUGUUUUUGAGAAUUCCUAGGUUCGGAUGAGAUUCAUUGAAACUAUUCAAUGGCAUGUUUAAAUCUCGAUAUGCCCCUCUUGUUUGUGACUGGGAUGCCGAGGAUCACAAAGCGGGUGUGAAUUACCAUGCAAAUUCACAUGGCGCCUUCAUUGUAACAAUCACCUAUUCGACGUGCCGGUAAACCACACACGCUCCAUCGAACUAUGAUAAACAACGAAUCACCCUUCGCCACCUUCGCUUAGAACCAAUUAGUGUGCCGGUAAACCACACAUGCUCCACUAACUUCUUAGCAAGGUGCAAAGUGUAACUAAGAUUGGGAAAUUUUGAAAAUAUUUAGUUACUUGUAUUUCCUAUUAUACUUUUAAUGAGAGGAUGAGGUUGCCCUAUCCUACCCGUUCGGCUAACGACCCUCCACCGAUCAAGCAAGCGGUGGGUGUGAGUGUACACCCGUUAAGCGUCAUUUUAUAGGCCGCAACCUUAUACCCACCUUAUAGAUCGGCUUCGUGAAUGAGGCCUACUAGCAGUAAGACUAGCGUUUAGUUAUACAUAUAUAUAGAUAUUAAUCUUGUAAUAUUAUAUUAGUAUAAGGUUGAAUUUUAAACUUGUAAAACUCUAGGGUUUGAAAUUUAACUUUAUCUAAAUUAAACAUAUAAUCAUAAAACAUAAAUUUCAAAAUUUUGAGGGCAAGUUUUAAACUUUUCAAAACAUAGAGGAUCAAAUAACCAAUAAUUCUUUAUUAACAAUUAAUCACAUAAUUAUCCAUAUUUGAUUUAUUUGAAAUUUCUUGAAAAAACAAUUUACCAAUUAAAUAAAAUAAUUUAAUAAUUAUCAUAUAAGUAAAUUAAAUAUUUGAUUAAUUGAUAAACUUCAUUAACUAGAUCAAAAAUAUGGUCAUAUUUAUCACAAAUUUGGAUUUGGGAUGAUCUAAUAUGAUAAUGGUAACUUUCCAUAAGAUAAUUACAAAGAAAUCCCGAAAUUGGCUCUUCCUGACGCUCGGACUCGCCGAGUACCCACUCUGGACUCGCCGAGUCUAGCCUACUCGCCAAGUCCACAGUGGGACUCGCCGAGUCCAUGACUCAGAAACAUAAAAAUCGUAUUUUUCAGUUAUGAUUCAUACAAACAAGCAACAAUUUAAAAGAAACCAAGCUAGGCUCUGAUACCACUGAUGGGUUUUGGCCAUAUGAACAUUCCUAUGUGCACAUGCAAACCCUAAUGCUUGGAUCUAUGGCUUCUAAUCAAACAUGCUUGUAUCCAAGACUUCUAAUGGCUAAUUAGGUAUAAAACAAAACAAAAUCAGAUCUAGAAACAUACCUUUGAUUCUCUUGUUUGUUCUUGUUGUCUUGGAGCUCUAGAGUCACAAUUGUCACUCCUCUAAUGGCUUACAAACACCAACUAGCAAGAGGAUGAUUUGGGAGAGAGGAAAGAGCUAUAAAUCGGCCAGAGUAUCUUUACUUAGGAUGGGUGCCGAUUUCUCAAGUCUAGAGGGUCUAUUUAUACUUGCAAGGCUCCUAGGGUUUCACCUUUAAACCCUAACUGGAUAACUUAAACUCUAAGUUAAUCCAUAUCCUUUCCUUAGAUAACCCUUUGGACGAUUUUGGCUUAUCCUAGCCCUAGAAAUCAUCUAAUCCUUUAUCUAUAAGGAUUUACAGCCUAAAGUCCAACUAUCAAACAAUUGACAGUUUAUACCCUCAUAUUUAAUUAAUCCCUUUAAGUCACCAAAUUAAUACUAAUUAAUCUAUGACUUAUAUUAAUUAAAUAACUAUAUUAUUAAUCCUUAUAUUACUCCUAUAAUAUAUUAAUAAUAUCUACUCUCUCAUAAUAAAUCAUCCUAUCAAGUUUCUAUGGUGAAGGCAACCCAAAAGGACCAUGCAUAAUCGGGUCAAGUGUUUGCCUAAUAUAGUUGCAGCCUUAGACACUAUUCCAACAAUGGUAACCAUGGUUUCACCAUUCUCCCUACUUGAAUUUUGGCUUGUCUCGGGCUGCUCUCAUAAAAUCCUUCGGCAAUCACUUCUUUUGUGGCCAGAAUAAUUAUAGUGAUUGCAAUAACCUUCGAACCUUGUAUUUGAAGAUUUACCUCGAUCUCGCGCUUUCCCUCGGUCUCUUGAUUUCCCAUGAUCUUGGGAUCUUCCUCUACUUUGACCAGGUCUACGUCUACCUCGACCUCGACCUCUACCUCCAGUUCUUCCUCCGCCUCUUUCUUUAUUUUCUUACACGAGGGCAAAAGACUGGUCUGUACCAGCUUCUCUCCUUCUGGCUUCUUCGUUCAUUAGGGCGUCUGUGACCAUCUCCAUUGACACUUUGCCACCGGGGGCAGAGUUGUUGAGAGUCACAACAAGCGUCUCUUAAUUAUCUGGUAGAGAACUCAAGAGCAAUAUGGCUUGUUCCUCGUCUUUGAGAACCCAUUCAGUAGCACCGAGAUGGUUUACGAGAUCCUGGAACUGACUCGUAUGCUCGGUUAUGGACAUACCACUUCAUAACUUAUGGUUUACAAGGCGCCUCAUCAUCAAGGUCUUGUUGCGUGCCGUCUUUGCCUGAUACAUAUUCUCGAGCUUCUCCCAAAGUUUGUACGCGUCGGUCUCUUGAGAGACAUGGUGAAAAACAUUGUGGUCAAUCCAUUGUCGAAUUUGUGCCACCGUUUUCCAAUUUAUUCUCGUCCAAACUUUGUCUGUCUUCGUGUCGGGUUUGACGCCUUGCUUUUCUAUAGGCUCUGCUAAAUCUUUCAGAUUAAGCAAAUCUUCCAUCCUUGGCUUCCACAUGUUGUAAUUUGUGGGCGUAAGUCGAACCAUCAUAAUCGUACUUGUAGAUUCCAUCGAAAAUAAUUUCAAAUUUAUUUUACAAAUAUUUCGAGGAAAAAUUAGAUAAAACCAAGCUCUUGGUUAGAUUCGGAAGCGUCAAAAAUGGUGGGGUAGAAUUUUUCGGGCUCAAAAUAUACUUUCUUGAAAAGUUAUGUGCUAAUUUGUAACUUUUCGGAACUAUAGGGGCUAAACUAUAAUUUCCGGAACUUACAGGGGCCAAUCUGUAAUAUUUCUACCAACCAGGGACUUUUUGGAAACUUUUCAGAACUCCAGGGACCAAAACAAAUGUUUUCAGCAGAAUAGGGACCAAACUGUAGUUUUUCAGAAACAGAGGGACCUUUCUGCAAUUUUCUGGAACUUCAGGGGCUAAAACGCAACUUUUCUGAACCAUGGUCAAAAGCUGACAUCAACGCUGACGUCACUAAUGACGUCACUCGUCUGCUCCGGCGAAACCUCUUUGGCGACUGGUUUUUCCGGCGAUAUUUCCGGCAACUUUGACCAAUCUUUUACCGGCGUUUUGGAGGUGUUCCCGUGGUCAAAAAAUCAUGAAAAACAUAUUUUCAAAAUCCUUGAAACGAGACCUUUCUAAUGGUGUACCCAGAAAUCGAUUUUGAGACAAAAAAAAUUUGACAAAAAAACAGAGAAAUUCGUGAAAAAAUCCCUGGACACCAAACCAAGCUUUGAUACCAGUUGUUGGGGUUGGAAAUCUCUUCUAUUUAACACUAAAAUAGAAUUACGAUAGGAGGAGCAACUCUCACACUCAACUACUACUAAAAACCAUCCCUCUCACUAACACUCUGACUCUAAGUGUUUUACUUUCUAUUUCUCUGUAUUUGGGAUGCUUACAACUGAAGAAUGAAGUCUCUAUUUAUAGUCUUGGCAGCCACCAUUGUAGUUGCCUUCAUUAACUGUGUUCAUCAUAGGGUUGAAAGACUUUGGCACCCUAGGUCUCAUUUUGUCAACAAAGGUGGCUACUGUAGCUUUGGAGACUAGAACACAACAAAAUGCACUCUCAAUGGAUCAAAGAAAUGGACAAAAACAACUCAACUUCAUUCACACUAUUCUCAGCAUCAACUUUUGUAAGAUCUUUCCCCACCCCCCCUUUUUCAACUUCUGCUCCUAUUUUUAUCAUAUUUAUAUAAGGAAAAUUCGAGGAAAUAGCAUAAGAUUUUCUCUUUUUUUGUUUGAAAGUAAUUUAGCUGGAUGAUUUUAGUAUUUAUGUAUGGAAUGCUCGAAGAUGAUGGUUAGUCUACACCAAAAAUCAAGCACAGGGAAACUUGUAUCAGUAAAAUAUGGCACUUCCAAAUAUGGCCAUGUGGCACGAACCCAGUCUCCAGCUCACUUUAUGUUGGAACCAAGAUUCUGGGAUUGAUUAUGAAAUUUAGGAGUUUGUUGAUGUUAAAGAAAACUGAGGUUUUUGAUGUCUUCAGAGCAAUGUAUAGCUGUUCUUAGGUUUUUUAGGAGUUCCUACAACUAUUUAGACCCGUUUGUUCUAUUUGUGUUUGAUGAUUUCUUAUUUAUAACUAACUAUCUGUGUUUACAAUGUUUCUAAGUAUUGUUUUAAUGAGAGAAGUAUAUGUUAUUAUCAAUGGUGUUCUUUGUUUAAACUGCAUUUUUUUGUGGCUAAUUGAAUGUUUGAUAGAGAAAAAACAUUAUGUUUCAGAAUCACAGUAAAAAACAUCAUAAUCCUAAAUAAAAAAUAGGAAACAUAGGUAAAGGAGUUUUGAGGGAAGGAUGGAAGGAAGGCAACAGAGACCGGUGAGGUCAAUAUAAUCGAAACACUAGCUUUAUUUUGGGAACUUUUUAUUUUCCAACUGAAUUGAGCGUGGAUUUGUGGGACACAUUUUGACUAUGGUUGUGGAGGUUUGUGUUUACCAAUUCGACACACACCUUUGAUAGUUAGAAGUUUGGUUCCUAUUUCAAACUAAAUUAGCAUCAUUUUUAUUCCCUCACACAUACACCAUUUGACACACACCGUUAACCUCCCUCAUGCAUGCAUGUAACAUCUUUCCACAACAAAACUUGGAUACACCUUUUGUUCUUAAUUUUCCUCAAAACAAAAUUACACUCUUUAUUAGUCGGGACACAAGAUUACGCCCCCUAUCUAUCAUGAUUAACCAAAACAAAGAACAAUAUAGAAUCUAACAUGUACAUAUCUAAUCUUGUACAUGUACAUCAUAGGAUCUAACUAGUUGCACGACAACGAAGACACUUAUAUCAAUAUAUAUGAUAAGCGUAUAUUGCAUAUUGUAAAGAAAUAGCUUGACCAGGGCUAAUCGGGUUUCCAUUAUUAACUCGAAAAUCACUUUAAGAGAUUCAUUUAAACAAGUUUGGGUUGAUUAGUCUAGCCGAUCUAAACCACCUACAACUCAAUUGAAUGUUUGAAAUGCUACAACUUCCUGGUAUACAUAUGUUUCAGGUUUUGGUUUGCAUUUUUAUUUUAUAACUUUUGGUUUUCAUUUGUUCUGGUUCUAUGAUUUUGGUUUCUAGUGUCAAUUUUCCAGCAAAGGUUAUGAUAGGUUGGGUGGUGGUGGUGGAGAAGAUGAUGAAGAGAACAUGGAAGGGAAAGGUGUAACAACCCGUUAUUUCAGGUCAUAAAAAUCGAGUCUUGUAACCUCUUUGAAAAGUAAUUAGAAUAUCAUCGAAAAAUGAAAUAUUCAAAAGCUCUGUUUGGGGUACACUAUGUAGUAUAUAUCGUCUUAAGGUUUCAAAACAUAUAAAGAACACUAAAAUCCGAGUUAUAACGAAGAAGUUAUGACCAUUCUAAGUUUUCCGACAAAAACCGGCAAUACGGAUAUACGUAAAAACGCGAAGUUUCGAUAAAAUACUUUUUGACCUUAGGUGUCUUAAUGAAAGUCAUAGAUAUCGUUAAACUGCAAACGUAUAUAAAAAGAACGCCCAAAUCUGACAUCGUAUGAAAAAGUUAUGAAUUAUUAACGAAUUUUCUUACCCCGACCUUUUAAAAAUAAAUAAUAAAAAUAAUUUCGGAAUUUGCCGACGGAAUCUAAACGAAAGUUGUAGAUCAUAGUCUUACCUACGCGUGGAUAUAAAGAACGUCGAAAACUGAUUUCGUAUGAAGGAGAUAUGAAAUUUUGAAGUUUGAUAAAUAAUUAAUAUAUAAAUUUAAUUCAAAAUUCGGUAUUAUCCGAAGGGUGAGUCACCGGGUCCAUCCGAGUUAUGCACGGCGUACCCUCUUACGCCCAGCGUACUCAAGGACUAGGCUCCGGUUCAUCCACGUCGCCCCUAUGCAAGGCUAUGCCCCGUCCCAUCCGAAGCCGAGGUAGUCGAGGACUCGGUCACGCAUGACGCACGAGUACGCCCCACGUACACUCGUACGCCCAGCGUACCGAGGCCUCUUAGCCCCUAUAAAAGGGAUGCGAGGGUUCCGGGGAAACUUGCUCAUUUUCUCUUGUUUUUCUUGCAUUUUUCCUCGUUUUCUGUGCAAUAUUUAUCCCGAAGUCCCGGUUCUCAUACUCAAGCCCUGAAGGAAGUUUUACGCUCCCAAGAUUCCCUAGAAUCCCGAGAAAAUCCGCUUUUUCAAGUCAAAGUUCUGCUCAGUUUUCGUCACACCUUCUUCAAUCUAUCAAGUGAGUUCAUACCCCUACAAACACACUUUAAAUACGCUUUUAAAUGCUUUUUAUACUCUUUUAGAGGGGGGGGGGGAAUACAAGUAAACAUACGGUUAUUAUCGUGUAUUUCAUAAAGUUUCACUUUACUCGUUUUUAUCAAAUGAAUCACUUGUGAUUCAUUACUACUAUGGAAAACUCUUGUCAUACUUUGCAUGCACUAGAUUUAUACAAAGUAUUUAGUAAUUUCAAAGUAUCUUUCGUUGCUAAACCGUUUUGUACAUUCUAAGAACUUAUGAUUUAUGCUUUGUCAAAUAUUGUGAAAAAGGAUAAACUUUGCAUACAAAACUAUUAUUUUAAUUCAGACUUAAUUGAGAAUCCGUGAGACGUGUACAUCUUCAAGUACUGCCUUUUGCUAAAAAAGGUAUUGCUACAAGUUCUGUCUAUAACCAUAGUCUCCCGUUCGGAGAACGUGUCAAAUGUGUAUAGAUCUAUACGGGAAGUCAUGAUCCCGCGCCCUGACUGUUAGCUACAGUCCGUCCUUUGGGGUGACAGGUUGUCAUAACGCUACAACGCCUGAAGAACGUCGCUACAGGCAUAUUAUGUUUAGUAUGGUUAUAAAACUCAUCGAAUAUACAAUUAUUAUAGUACUUCUGAUUCAUGAAUGAGUAGCUAUUAAAACUAUUCUUUAUCUAACAACUAAAAUCUUCUUAUAGGUUUUAUUAUAUAAAUCUAUGUUUCAAUCUUCUAAAGCAUGUUGAUUGCUUUCGGUUUUUAGUCUUGAACAUUAGAAAAACUAUUACUUUAGUAAAAUAUGGGAUUUUCCUGUAUACAAACCAAACAACUAAUAGGAAAAUAAGGGAUUUUCUUGAUUCAACUAUCCACAUUUUACCACAUCAAUAUUCUCGUGCAUUUCAUACUUUUAUAAGAAAAUAAGGGAUUUUCUUGGAAAACAUACACUCAUUUUGGAAUGGCAUUCAAUUUUUCUAAACCACUUAUGAACUCACCAAAUUAAUUGUUGACACUUUCUCUUUGAAAUAACUUGUAUUCUCAGGGAACCGCUAAGCAGGUUGGAAACCAACUUUUGGGGAUUAACGCGCUGGCGUUAAUUAUUUCUUUUGAAAGAUGUUUAUGUAUUUAUCUUUUGAACAUGUAAUGAAUACCAUUAUGUAAACAUUUUUAAAACCUUUAUAUAUGUAUGGUGAUGUGUACUUUCCUUUCUAUGAACUGUUAUGAUACUGAAUAUGACGUCCUCCGCCCCCGAACGUUUCUGCCGUUCUGGUUUGGGGGUGUGACAGAUUGGUAUCAGAGCAUUGUUUAUAGGGAAUUAAGUAUAUCAAAACCAUUUCUUUUUGGUAUACAACUAUCACACCCCCAAAACAGAAUGGCGAAAACAUUCGGGGGUGGAUUACUUCACGUAGUAUCACAACAAUUGAAUAUUGUAAAGAAAGUAACACAACCAUCAUAUAUAUAAUGAAAACAUAUAUUGUUGCGUUAUACAUGUNCAUCACAUAUAUAAUGAAAACGUAUGUUGUUGCGUUAUACAUAAUAGCAAAAGAAUAUUACAAUGAGAUGAUAAAUGUUCAAUAAUAAAACAUCUUUAGUGGUUCCUUCUCCAAAAGCUGGUGGUUACCUGUAUUACUGAUUCCCUGAGAAAUACAAGUGGUUUCGAAAAAGUGUCAACAAUUAAGUUGGUGAGUUCAUAAGUGUUUUGCAUUGAAAAGUAUGUCCUUUUUGAUAGUAAAUCGAUGAACGAGGUUUUCAGAAAAUCCAAUAUUUUCUAUAAAUGAUUUGAAUAGUUUCCAGAGUUGGUGUGUGUUAGUAUGUUCCAUACUAGAAUAAUAAUGAUAACUUUGUGCCAAAAUAAUGUAGCAAACUGAAUGCAUAUAUGAUUCUCGUAAAUCAAACUUGUUUUUAUACUUUUAUGUGAGUUUUAUAACCAUACUAUUGACACUGACGGCCUGUAACAACAUUCUUCAGGUGUUGUAGUGUUAUGACAUUUGUCACCCCAGACCUGCCGGUCUAACUAUAGCUAAUAGUUUAGGUGCGGGGUUGUCAAUCCCGUAUAGAUCUAUACACAAGUAUCACGCUCUCUCUCCAAGAGAUUAUGGUAUAUAAUACAGGACUAGAAAUGAAUACAUACGAGUACGUUGAAGUUUGAAUGUCUCACAUUACUUGGUAUAAACAGAUUUACGAUAAUAAAGACUUUACUUCUUUUGAAAGUAUUUCGUUUGUCAAGAUGUAUAUGUAUAAUGCACGAAUAACUUGAUAACUAUAUCCAUUAUAGUUUCUUAAAAGUAUGUUUCCAUUUUGUAAGAACAACUUGGUGAUAUAAUAGCCCUUUAAACAUAAAGAUAUUUGUAUCAAAGCCCUAUAAGAAAGGUAUUAUAACUAUGUUUAUAAAACGAUACUUUGAUUUGUAAUGUACUUGUAUUCCCCCCUAAAAUGUGAAAAGAAUUGAAAAGUAGGGGUAUGAACUCACUCGUUAAGUUUGAAGAGAGAGGCUAGGGUUGAGCAGAACUUCGACCGCGGAUAGUUGCGUCGUCGGGCUCUUCGGGGAUCUCUGCAGCGUAAAUCUUUCGUCGGGGGCUCGAGUGCGGAAACCUAGGUGAGGGAAUGGUCUCUGGAGCUUAGAUGUAUGGGAGAAUGACUGAGGAAUUGUGAAUGGUGUGAAAAAACUCGAAGCUUAUGCCAUCUAUUUAUAGUGUUGGAGGAGUGAGUACGUGGGGCGUAAUUUUGGAGUACGCAGCGCGUACAUCGUUACGCUGGGCGUAAGAAUGCGUCAUGGCUUACGACUCCGGGCUAGCUAAGCGUAGAGGGGGCGGGCCGAUGGGACUCGACUCUGGGUCUAGUACGCGGGGCGUACUCCCAGAGAACGCGGGGCGUAAUCCGGCCUGUCCUCUUCUAAAUUCCGUAACUUUCGCGUACGAGCUCCGUUUUUCGUGUUCUUUAUAUCCACGCGUAGGUGAGAUUAUGCUCUACAACUUUCAUUUAGACUCCGUCGGCUAGUUUUGACUUUAUUUUUAAUGACAUAAUUUUAAAUAGGCCGGGCCUCCUAAAGUCCGUUAAAAAUUUAUAGGUUCUUUAUUCGGCAUCGGUUUUCGUUUGUCUUUUUAUCGUUUUAUUACUACUGUGGAGAUCUUCAACUUCCGUUUAGGUGGCGAUAGCUAAAUAACACUCAAUCUUCAAUUUGAGUUUUUAGCCCUCUACUACUGUUACGAAACUUAGGAAAUUCGUAACUUCUUCAUGCGAAGUCCAAUUUGGGCGAUCUUUUUAUGCACGCUCACCUCUCAACAAGAUCUACGACUUUUGUUUAGAUACUUAAGGCUAAAAUGCAUUUUAUUGAGAUUUUACUUUUUACGUCAAUUAAUGUUUUAACGGCGUGUCGUAAAUAUACGAGUGGUUAUAAUUUCUUCAAUAUAACCCGGUUUUGAGUGUUCUCUAUAUUUUUGGAAACCUUGGCAUGAUAUCUAAUAUUUGAUGCAACACAACUUAGAUAAAUAAAUGCCUUUAUUUUUUAGGUUAAUUUCGUUGUAUUUGACUUUUGAGCGUUACAAUGCUUUUGGAAAGUAUAGGGUUGUCACAUCAACUAUAAACUCAACUUGUCACACCCCCAAACCAAGGAUGGCGGAAACGUACAGGGAUGGAGGACUUCAUGUAGAGUAUCACAACAACGAGUAUAAUAGUGCUCAAAGUAAAUACAACCAUCACAAAUAUAAUUGAAAAAGUUACACCAAAGUAUAUGUUUACAUGAUUCGAAUCAAUUACAUUAUGAUACAAAAUUAACUGUUUGACGAUUUAUCGUCCCAUCCUCAAAACAUGGUUGAAUUCCUGAUUCAUUGAAUUCCUGAGAAUACAAGUAGUUUGAAAAAGCGUCAACACAAAGGUUGGUGAGUUCAUAAGCUUUUGUCGGUAAGAGUUUGAAAAUCAAUCUUUGUAAAGAGAUGUAUGUUACCAAGAAAAAUCUAAUAUUUUCCUUAUAAAAGUAAUGUGGUCCUAAAUACCAGGACCGAAAUGAAUAAGUAUUUUGUCAUACUUAAAGCUAUAAUCGUGGUUUUAAACUAACAUAAAAACCCCUUUUGAUAUGAAGACGUACAAGUAUUUUUUCAUACUUAAAGUAAUUUCAGUGAGCUAAAUCGACAUAACUCGCUAAAUUAAAGUUAGAACUCGUAAAUCUUAUGAUUUGUUAAUACCACAUGUGAGCUAUCAUAAUCAUACUUGACAUUGACGGCCUUGUAAUUACGACGUUCUUCAGGCGUCGGAACUGUUAUGACACUUGUCACCUCAGACCUACCGGUCUAGCUGUUGCAAGCAGCUCUGGUGUGGGUUUGUCAAGCCCAAUAUAGAUCUAUACACAACUAUCACGUUCUCCCUACAAGAGACUCUGGUUACGAUUUACAAGACUUUUUGAAUUGGUUACUUUGGAAGUAACCCGAAGCGAAUGACUCACAAAUUUAUUCAUUAACAGAUUUACGUGAACUAAACUGAAAACCUUUGGUAUAUAAGUUUGAGAAGUAAAUGAUACAUAAACUAUACCUAUUAUAGUUUAUCCAAAACAUUUUUAAAGUAUGAAAACUCUUUUAUGAAAACGCUUUUGUGAUGAAUUUACACUUAACAAAAUGAAAGUUCCCUUUUGUAUAAAUGUACCCUUCUGAAAGUAUAUUUGUAUUAUGUAUGUAUCAUAAACUAUACCAUUUAUAGUUUAUCAAAAUAAGGGUAGGAAUAGUAAAGUACAUAAACUAUACUUAACAUAGUUUAAUAAUGCAUUUGUAUGUAAGGGUGUACUUUAAUUAUAACACUUGGUUAUUUCUAUGCAUUAUCUAGUAAAAAUUCAUUUGUUAACUGGUGUAUAUCUAUAUAUGAAUACAAAAAUGUCACAUACUACAAUAUCACAUGAUCACAUAAUGAUUUAUACCUUGCUCAACAUGUUACAAGGUGAUAUGAAAUUUAUUGUGUUUUUCUAUUUAUAACAAUUUCUGUAACUGUUAUUGGAAAAUUUGUAGAAAAAUCAUAAAAUGUCCAAAUCAAGUUCUGUAACUUCUGAGAGUUUGGAAAAUGAGUCUAGUUGGUUCAUAAAUUUUUCCAUAAUUUUUAGGGACCUCUAACUUGUGUAACCAAGUCCAUAAUCACAGAAUGCUCCGGAUUGGUGUUUGAGAUGAUAAGCAGUUUUGUAAAAAUCACCAUAAAUUGUAGAAAAAUCGUAUGGAGAUGUGCAAGUAGUCAUUUUAAAUCUAAGAACUGGAACUACUUACACCUAAAACAGUUUUGUAAACAAAAAUGUUUAAGUUGUCCAAAACAGUCCGUGAAUGGAGUUGAACUUUUCUGAUGAAGGCUGUUAGAAAAGUUUAGUUAUGUUCUUGGUGUUUUAACUUGUAUUCCCCCCCUAAAAACUUGAGAAAACAUGAAAAUAUAGGGGUAUGAACUCACCUUGAGUGAUUUCAGUAGGUAAGUGUUGAAGAAGAGAAGUGUUCAACCCAAGAACACUUGAAGAUUCGAAGAUCUAACAAGAAUGUGAUGAUGUUUGUGUAAGCAAUCUAUGAUUUUGAGUAGGAGGAUGUGUAUUAAUCAUAAGAAAGAUGAUGAUACUUACUAAUUGUAGGAGAAAAGUCUUGGAGUAUGCCUUGAAAUUCUCGAAUUGGAGAGAGAAAGAUGAGAGAGUUUGGAGUGUGGUUCUUGGUGAAAAAUGAGAGAAUGAAUGAAGUGUGAGGAGAGAGGGUGGAUGUUCCAGCCCUAAGUAUGUGGGAAUAGUUGAAAAUAAUGAGAAAGGACCUAUGAAGUGACUAGGGAUGGGCUGGUGGUGAAUAGUGACAUGGAGUGGGUAUGGGAGUGGUUGCUUGUGUCAUAGAAAUAAGUAAAGUCAACACUCUACCUUUGUACUUCACCCACUCUCUUUUGGAUAAGGUUUUAUCCUUAAAAAUGUGAUUAAUUAAUAGUUAAGGGUCCUUAUAUGUUAAAAUAAAGUUUUGGGUGAAAAUCCCAUGUUAAAACAAUUAAAAACGGGCCUAAAACGCGAAUUUAGUCGAAAACCGGGAGAAAAAGCGUUCCCAGCGAGACCUCUCGGUCCUAGGCCGAGGUUCGGUCCUUGCUGGUGCUGAGCCGGAAGCGAAGUGCGAACCAGAAGAAGAAGGCGAAGGCGAGGGGCUCAGUCCGAAGGCUCGGUCCGAAGGGUCAGAAGCGAAGGUUCGGUUCGGUUCUUUGAGUGAGGUUCGGUUCGGUUCUUUGAGUGAGGUUCGGUUCGGUUCUUUGAGUGAGGUUCGGUUCGGUUCAUCGAGUGAGGUUCGGUUCGGUUCAUUGAGUGAGGUUCGGUUCGGUUCAGCAACCUUCUUCAUCAGGAGGGUUCGGUUCCUAAGGGGAGUUUCGGUUCCUAAGAGGGGUUUCGGUUCCUAAGGUCCGUUUUUCGCGUAGACUUCCGUUUUUGGGCUGUUUUCGCCAAAUUCGAGGGUCGGGAUGCCCCGAGUGAUUAUAGAAAGUUGGGAGAGAUUUCGAGAGAGAUUUGAGAGAGAUUCCACAUACUCAGAGAGAUUUGGGAGAGAUUUCACAUUCUUAGAGAGAUUUGAGAGAGAUUUGACAUUCUUGGAGAGAUUUCUCAUUCAGAGAGAUAUUUUGGAGAGAUUUCACAUACUUAGAGAGAUUUGGGAGAGAUUUGACAUACUUGGAGAGAUUUCACAUACAAAGAGAUAUUUGGGAGAGAUUUCACAUUCUUAGAGAAAUUUGGGAGAGAUUUCUCAUACAAAGAGAGAUUUGGGAGAGAUUUCACAUACUUAGAGAGAUUUGGGAGAGAUUUCACAUUCUUGGAGAGAUUUCUCAUUCAGAGAGAGAUUUGGGAGAGAUUUCACAUUCUUGGAGAGAUUUCUCAUUUAGAGAGAGAUUUGGGAGAGAUUUUACAUACUUAGAGAGAUUUGGGAGAGAUUUCACAUUCUUGGAGAGGUUUCUCAUUCAGAGAGAGAUUUGGGAGAGAUUUCACAUACUUAGAGAGAUUUGCGAGAGAUCCUUGGAGAGAUUUCUGAUAAGAAGUGAUGGAGUGAAAAGGAUUGAGAGUGGUUUUGUGUGUUACGAAUGUGAGUGUCCGGCUUCGUUGUGCAGGGUCCGUAAACCCCGUUAAGCCUUGUUUAAGGAUCUUACACACUCCCGAUGAGUAUGCAACAUUGUUUUAUCGGUUUGGCUCGUCACUUACCAUAGAUUUGGGUUAAGGAGAUCUAGAUGUACGCACUUUUCGAUUUAUGAUCUCUCAUUAGAAUAAAGAGUUGUUUAGAAAUUACAUAACGUAAACUCUAGUACCUACAGGCAAAUUGAGUUGACCGGUUUGACUUGUUGACUUUAGUUGACUUUGAUUUGAUCGAAAAUUGACGGUUAUCACACAACUGGGCAAAAACACUCCGAGAAGAGUCAUACUUUUGAAAUUAAAUUUAUUUAGUUUUUGUAAAGUAGGAAUGCACUCAUUUCAUACUAAUAACAGUUUCAUAUCGGAUCAUUUUAGAAGUAUUAUAAAUAAGUUGUGCAGUGCAGGUACGCCUUGGGACAUGUAAUCGGAACUGGGAAGAAUAUAGCCUGAUCAACUAUAUUUGUCCGAGAGCCGACUAACGUAUUCCAAGGAGUAUCUGCAAUGGACAACAAAUUUAAAACUUACCAAAAGCAUAUCGUUAAAUAAUACUAAGGGGGUAUUUGAGUAUCAGCAACCAUUAAACUUAAAGGUAAAUUUCAUGUGCUCUAGCUUCUAGUAAAUUCUUAACCCUAUUCUCGUACAGACUCAAUGGCUGGAUUCCAUCACCCCAAUUACCCCUACUACCCCAACGAAGGUAAUGGAGGAUGGAUCGAAGAAGAUCCUGAAGAAGACGAAGAGCCUAUAGACGUUCAUGUGAGGAACUUUCAAGGACCCACUCCUGUGUGGGGGAGUCAGCUCCACCAUUGGAGCCAACAACAAAGCUUACGACCUCCCUACGGCAUGUGCCGAGAUUUCUAUGAUGUCAGAGGCGGGGGUUCGGCAGACCGAGCACUCCUGGUCAUGGUUGGCAAAAUAGCCAACCGGUGCUAUCAAUCCGGAGUUCAAGCCAACCGGAUCUGCGAGGUCAAUGUGGAAGUGCAAGUGCACACUUCCGACAUCCGCUGUUUGGACAAGUUGCAAGGGUAUGGCCUAGACCGCACUAAGGGAACAACAAGUCGCGUUUGAUAGGCGCCUCAUGGAGUCAAAGCAGUCCGGCACAGAGUCAAGCUCCAAGCGCAAACCACAUCGCAAGUAGUACAUGCCGACUUUCAAAUUUUGUUAUAAAUUAGGACUUCGGAUAAAAGUAUUAUUUUCUUUAAACUUUCUGUAAUCGGAGACCUUUAGAAAGAUCAAAAACUUUUGUCUAAACUCGGAUGUAACACAACUAUAUGUUUAAUAUAUAUAGGGCAUAUCUCUUUCGUGUGUUAAUUAUGUGCAGUUCAUAAGUAUAUCUAUUCAAACUCCAUUUGUAAAUCAAGCUCAAGACCCUGUGUUGGUCAAACUAAAUUCUUGAUCUAUUAAAGAAAGUUAACUCAAUAUCAUUCAACUCUCAACUACCAAAAAUUAUAAUCUCUCAUUUUCUUUUGGCAGCGCGAUGCCUCCUUGUCCAAACCUAAGACCCAGACCGGGCACGACACCACCACCACCUCCACCACCAACGUAUGAUCCGACCAUGGUCCAGGCUGUUAUCACAGCAGCUCUCUCGCAAAUAAACUCCAAUGGAAAUGGAGGUACAGGAAGCAACACGAAUCAUUCCAAUCGUGGCACUGGUCAUGGUCAAGUAAGGGAAUGUACUUACAAGGAGUUCUCCAACUCAAAGCCAAAGACUUUUAAUGGCAUUGGAGGAGUCAUUGCACUAAUUCAAUGGUUCGAAAAGACCAAAACAGUCUUCGAGAUCUGCUCAUGCCAAUAAACAAGCAAGGUUAAGUUCGCUGCUUGCACCUUCAUAGAUCGAGCCCUCACUUGGUGGAAAAGCCAUGUGAAUUCGGUGACACUCACUGUCGCCAACACCAUAAGUUGGGAGGAUCUGAAGGUUCUACUACUGGAAGAAUACUGCCCAAGGGGCAAAGUCCAAAAUCUUGAGUAAGAGCUCUGGAAUCUGAAGAUGACUGGGUCUGAUCUAGUCGCCUACAUAGCUAGGUUCAAUGACCUUGGUGCAUUAUGCCCUACCAUGGUCAACCCAGAAUCAAAGAAGGUUGAAAGGUACAUUUAGGGGUUGUCACCCCAGAUUCAAGGGCAUGUCCUAGCUUCCAACCCUAUUACCUACAACAAUGCUAAACACCUGGCUCAGCGACUCAUCAACCACGGGGUAAAACAGGGUACCAUUGCAGCUACCACAAAUCCAUCUUAGGAGGCAUAGGGCCAGAGUAGGCCUUGAAACAAGAGAAGGGGACAAACCCUACAGGAGAACCCCAAGAAACAACAAGUAGUAGUAACCCACGCUGUUACUGUACCUACCAACACUGCCCCCACAAGCUCAUACAAUGGGAAACUUCCGAAAUGUAACCAAUGUGACUUCCACCACCACGGUCUCUGCCGUGAUCUUCAAUGCACUAGGUGUAAUCAGAAGGGGCAUACAGCCCGCUACUGCAAAGAGCCAAGUCAACAAUCCCCCCCUACUGCCAAUACCGGAGUAAGCCGUGCCUGCUUUGAGUGCGAAGACACGGGGCACUACCGCAGGGACUGCCCGAAGGCAAACAACAGGAAUACCGGCGGAAGGGGCCAAGUAUUCGCAAUGGGACAAGAUGAAGCCGUUGCGGACCCCACUGCUGUUACGGGUACAUUUCUUCUCGAUAACUCGUAUGCAUGCAUUUUGUUUGAUAGUGGAGCAGAAAGGAGUUUUGUGAGUCACGACUUUAAAGGCAUGCUAAAACCAAUACCACAAUCAUUAAGUGAACCGUUCAUAGUAGAAAUGGCCAACGGGAAAACCGAAGGAACUAAGGAGAUAUACUUAAACUGUACCCUAACUCUAAACGAUAAUCCCUUUCCAAUCAACCUCAUGCUAGUCUCGAUUAAGAGUUUCGAUGUCAUCAUUGGCAUGGAUUGGCUGAGUUCUCAUCAUGCGGACAUUUUAUGUUACGAUAAGGCCGUUCGCCUUAAUCUGCCAACCGACGAAACUUUCAUUGUCUUGGGCGACAAACCUAGUACAACUCUUCGUAUCAUCUCAAGUAUCCAAGCUCAGAAGUGCCUACGCAAGGAGUAUCAUGCGUUUUUGGCACAUGUCGUGGAUGUGAAACGCAAAGUCCAGGAUGUCAAGAAUGUACCUGACGUAUGUGAUUUUCCCGAGGACGUUCCAGGAAUACCACCCAUGAGACAAGUCGAGUUCAGAAUCGAUCUGGUUCCGGGAGCUACCCCAGUAGCCAAAGCGCCCUAUCGAUUAGCCCCGGAGGAGAUGCAGGAGCUAUCCAGCAACUGAAUGANGUACACUUAGGAAGUGUUAGAAUGCUCAAAACCCAUCAAAGGAUUCAUCAGGCCGAGCUUCUCACCAUGGGGAGCACCCGUGUUAUUCGUGAAAAAGAAGGAUGGAUCAUUCAGGAUGUGCAUCGACUACCGAGAACCCAACAAACUUACCAUCAAGAACCAAUAUCCCCUAACCCGAAUCGACGACUUAUUCGACCAACUCCAAGGAGCCAACUUCUUCUCCAAGAUCGACCUGAGAUCGGGAUAUCACCAGCUACGAGUCCUGGAGAGCGAUGUUCCCAAGACGGCUUUCCGAACAAGAUACGGACAUUACGAGUUUGUAGUGAUGUCGUUCGGACUAACCAAUGCCCCGACCGUAUUCAUGGAUCUAAUGAAUCGGGUGUGUCGUCCAUUCUUGGAUAAAUUUGUGAUAGUAUUCAUAGACGACAUACUCAUUUAUUCAAAGAAUAAAGAAGAGCAUAGUCAACAUCUGAGACAAGUCUUAGAGACGUUACGAACUAAGAGACUUUAUGCAAAGUUCUCAAAAUGCGAGUUUUAGAUUAGAAAGGUGGACUUCCUCGGUCACGUGGUCAGCAAGGAAGGAAUCCACGUGGACCCAUAAAAAAUCAAGGCUAUCAAAAAUUGGUCUGCACCAAUUACACCAACAGAGAUUUGCCAAUUUCUAGGUCUUGCUGGUUAUUAUCGAAGGUUCAUUCAGAACUUCUCCAGCAUCGCAAAGCCUCUUACCGUGUUAACUCAGAAAGGUGUGACCUACAACUAGGGAGAAAAACAAGAUGCUGCAUUUUAGACUCUGAAACAGGCCCUUUGCAGUGCGCUUAUUCUUUCUCUUCACGAGGGGACCGAAGAUUUUGUGGUGUAUUGCGACGCUUCGAAGCAAGGGCUGGGCUAUGUACUAAUGCAGAGAGGAAAGGUUAUUGCAUAUGCCUCACGACAACUGAAAACGCAUAAAGUCAACUACACCACUUAUGACCUAGAACUUGGAGCGGUGGUCUUCGCUCUGAAAAUAUGGAGGCACUACCUAUACGGGACCAAGUGCACCAUCUUUACAGACCACAAGAGCCUUCAACACAUCUUCGACUAGAAGGAGUUAAACAUGAGACAGCGACGUUGGGUCGAAUUGCUCAAUGACUACGAAUGUGAGAUUCGCUAUCAUCCGGGAAAGGCAAAUGUCGUGGCCAAUGGCUUUAGUCGUAAGGAGUACUCUGGCCGAAGAGUGAAGUCAUUAGCCAUGUCGAUCUAUUCGCACCUAUCAGCACAAGUCAAGGAAGCUCAAAUAGAGGCCUUGAAACUCAAAAACGUGACAAGUGAGACCCUUAGGGGAAUGGACAAGAACUUAGAAAUCAAGAGUGACAGAGUACGCUACCUCAUGAACCGAAUCUGUACACCCAAGUUUGGUGGGUUCAGAGAGGUAGUUCUGAGCGAAGCACACAAGACUCCAUACUCUGUGCACCCAGGGUCAUAUAAGAUGUAUCUAGACCUAAAGCAACUCUACUGGUGGCCAAACAUGAAAGCAGAGAUUGCUACCUAUGUGAGCAAGUGCUUGACUUGCGCCAAGAUAAAAAUAGAACACCAGAAACCCUCAGGUCUACUCCAGCAACCUGAAAUAUCAGAGUGGAAAUGGGAACAAAUUUCCAUGGACUUCAUAACAAAACUGCCCAAAACUCAGGGUGGCCAAGAUACUAUUUGGGUUAUCGUCGACAGACUAACCAAGUCCGCUCAUUUCUUACCGAUCAAGGAAACUGAUAUGAUGGAAAAACUAUCGAGAACCUACAUCCGAGAGAUCGUACGACUUCAUGGAGUGCCAAUGUCUAUCAUCUCGGACAGAGAUAGCAGAUUCACUUCCAGAUUCUGGCAAUCAUUGCAAAAAUCCAUGGGAACAAGGUUGGAUAUGAGUAUAGCCUAUCACCCACAAACUGACGGACGGAGUGAUAGAACGAUCCGAACCUUGAAAGACAUGUUGCGAGCAUGUGUAAUCGACUUUGGUAAAGCAUGGGAUGUUCACUUACCUUUAGUCGAGUUCUCUUAUGACAAUAGUUAUCAUACUAGUAUCAAGACUGCUCCAUUUGAAGCCCUUUACGGCCGCAAGUGUAAAUCACCUCUGUGCUGGACGGAAGUAGGCGACAUGCAGUUGGCAAAAGGUCUAGUCCCUGAUAGCACCCUCACUGGUCUGGAGAUCAUCAGAGAAACGAAUGAAAAGAUCGUGCAAAUACGAGAGCGACUGAAAUCCUCAAGGGAUAGGCAAAAGAGUUAUGCCGACAAAAGAUAGAAACCCUUGGAAUUUUUGAUUGGUGACCGUGUACUGCUAAUGGUCUCACCCUGGAAGGGCAUGAUACGCUUUGGAAAGCGUGGGAAGCUAAAUCCUAGGUACAUUGGACCCUUCGAAAUCAUUUCAAGAAUUGGUCCAGUGGCUUACAAACUCCAACUUCCAAUCGAGCUUAACAAAGUACAUCCAGUAUUCCACAUAUCGAACCUGAAAAAGUGUUUGUCCGACGAAACACUUGUAAUUCCACUCGACGAAAUCGAACUUAACGAAAAUCUUAACUUUGUGGAAGAACCCGUCGAGAUCAUGGAUAGGGAAGUUAAGCGAAAUAAACAGAUUCGCAUACGAAUAGUAAAGGUCCGUUGGAAUGCUAAGAGGGGACCUGAGUUCAUGUGGGAACGAGAAGAUCAGAUGCAACAGAAGUAUCCGCAUCUUUUCCUUAGCCCCUCAAACUUUUCUCUUGUAUUUAAUUUUGGGACAAAAUUCCCUCUAACGGGGGGAUGAUGUAACAAUCCGUUAUUUCAGGUCAUAAAAAUCGAGUAUUGUAACCUCUUUGAAAAGUAAUUAGAAUAUCAUCGAAAAAUGAAAUAUUCAAAAGCUCUGUUUGGGGUACACUAUGUAGUAGAUAUUGUCUUAUGGUUUCCAAACAUAUAAAGAACACUAAAAUCCGAGUUAUAACGAAGAAGUUAUGACCAUUCUAAGUUUUCCGACAAAAAACCGGCAAUACGGAUAUACGUAAAAACGCGAAGUUUCGAUAAAAUACUUUUUGACCUUAGGUGUCUAAAUGAAAGUCAUAGAUAUCGCUAAACUGCAAACGUACAUAAAAAGAACGCCCAAAUCUGACAUCGUAUGAAAAAGUUAUGAAUUAUUAACGAAUUUUCAUACCCCGACCUUUUAAAAAUAAAUAAUAAAAAUAAUUUCGGAAUUUGCCAACGGAAUCUAAACGAAAGUUUUAGAUCAUAGUCUUACCUACGCGUGGAUAUAAAGAACGUUGAAAACGGAUUUCGUAUAAAAGAGAUAUGAAUUUUUGAAGUUUGAUAAAUAAUUAAUAUAUAAAUUUAAUUCAAAAUUUGGUAUUAUCCGAAGGGUGAGUCACCGGGUCCAUCCGAGUUAUGCCCGACGUACCCUCGUACGCCCAGCAUACUCAAGGACUAGGCUCCGGUUCGUCCACGUCGCCCCUAUGCGAGGCUAUGCCUCGUCCCAUCCGAAGCUGAGGCAGUCGAGGAUUCGGUCACGCAUGACGCACGAGUACGCCCCGCGUACACUCGUACGCCUAGCAUACCGAGGCCUCUCAGCCCCUAUAAAAGGGAUGCGAGGGUUCCGGGGAAACUUGCUCAUUUUCUCUCGUUUUUCUUGCAUUUUGCCUCGUUUUCCGUGCAAUAUUUAUCCCGAAGCCCCGGUUCUCAUACUCAAGCCCCGAAGGAAGUUUUACGCUCCCAAGAUUCCCUAGAAUCCCGAGAAAAUCCGCUUUUUCAAGUCAAAGUUUUGCUCGGUUUUCGUCACACCUUCUUCAAUCUAUCAAGUGAGCUCAUACCCCUACAAACACACUUUAAAUACGCUUUUAAAUGCUUUUUAUACUCUUUUAGGAGGGGGGGGGAUACAAGUAAACAUAUGGUUAUUAUCGUGUAUUUCAUAAAGUUUCACUCUACUCGUUUUUAUCAAAUGAAUCACUUGUGAUUCAUUACUACUAUGGGAAACUCUUGUCAUACUUUGCAUGCACUAGAUUUAUACAAAGUAUUUAGUAAUUUCAAAGUAUCUUUCGUUGCUAAACCGUUUUGUACAUUCUAAGAACUUAUGAUUUAUGCUUUGUCAAAUAUUGUGAAAAAGAAUAAACUUUGCAUACAAAACUAUUAUUUUAAUUCAGACUUAAUUGAGAAUCCGUGAGACGUGUACAUCUUCAAAUACUGCCUUUUGCUAAAAAAGGUAUCGCUACAAGUCCUGUCUAUAACCAGAGUCUCCCGUUCGGAGAACGUGUCAAAUGUGUAUAGAUCUAUACGGGAAGUCAUGAUCCCGCGCCCUGACUGUUAGCUACAGUCCGUCCUUUGGGGUGACAGUUUGUCAUAACGCUACGACGCCUGAAGAACGUCGCUACAGACAUAUUAUGUUUAGUAUGGUUAUAAAACUCAUCGGAUAUACAAUUAUUAUAGUACUUCUGAUUGAUGAAUGAGUAGCUAUUAAAACUAUUCUUUAUCUAACAACUGAAAUCUUCUUAUAGGUUUUAUUAUAUAAAUCUAUGUUUCAAUUUUCUAAAGCAUGUUGAUUGCUUUCGGUUUUUAGUCUUGAACAUUAGACAAACUAUUACUUUAGGAAAAUAUGGGAUUUGCCUGUAUACAAACCAAACAACUAAUAGGAAAAUAAGGGAUUUUCUUGAUUCAACUAUCCACAUUUUACCACAUCAAUAUUCUCCUGCAUUUCAUACUUUUAUAAGAAAAUAAGGGAUUUUCUUGGAAAACAUACACUCAUUUUGGAAUGGCAUUCAAUUUUUCUAAACCACUUAUGAACUCACCAACUUAAUUGUUGACACUUUCUCUUUGAAGUAACUUGUAUUCUCAGGGAACCGCUAAGCAGGUUGGAAACCAACUUUUGGGGAUUAACGCGCUGGCGUUAAUUAUUUCUUUUGAAAGAUGUUUAUGUAUUUAUCUUUUGAACAUGUAAUGAAUACCAUUAUGUAAACAUUUUUAAAACCUUUAUAUAUGUAUGGUGGUGUGUACUUUCCUUUAUAUGAACUGUUAUGAUACUGAAUAUGACGUCCUCCGCCCCCGAACGUUUCCGCCGUUCUGGUUUGGGGGUGUGACAAAAGGAGAGAGGUGGAAGGAUGAUAGGUUGUGGUGGUGUAACGACACAAAAAUCAAGGGUAAAAGUUUCAUUUUUACUGUAGUUAAAACACAGAUAUCGCUUAAUCCAAACAUUCCAACAACAUUGCUAAUUAAAAACAUUUAUCAGAGUUCUUCCCAAAAUCACACACUAUGGAAAACACGAGUGUGUGCGCUGCGAUCAAGCCAGACUUUUUCUUUCCAAACCGAUGAUACCUAGAACCAUAAACAAAACUAUAAGCACGAAGCUUAGUGAGUUCCCCAGAGCACACCCCACAUAAUCACAUAAAUCAUAUAAUCACAUAAGCCAUGCAUAUAAACAUAUAAGGAAGCCAUGGAAACCCUCCAAGGUCUUAAUCUGGGUGCCAUGGGAACCCCACAUGCUCUGAGCCCAACUACCAUAUAAACCAUACAUACAAACAUAUAAGGAUGCCCUGGAAACCCUCCAGGGUCUUACUCUGGGUGUCAUGGGAACCCCCACAAAGUCUUAGCCCAAUGCAUCGAGAACCCCCCGAGGUAUUAACUAAGGAUUCCAUGGAAACCCUCCAAGGUAUUACACCCUAGUGCCUUGGGAACCCCCCGAGGUCUUUACUUAGGAUGCCAUGGAAACCCUCCAAGGUCUUACACCCAAGUGUCUUGGGAACCCUCUGAGGCCUUUCAUCCAAGUAUCACAAAUACAACAAGCAUACCACAUACCACAUAAUCAACUAGCAUACCACAUAGCAAAUAAUGGGCCGACGUUGGUGCCUUUGACCCAUUGGUAUGGUGAUGAGACUUACCUCGAAUGAAGAAGCUCCCCGAAUGAAAUCCUUAGCUGCUGCCCCGUCGGCUUCCCGAGCUAUGAAUACCACUCAAUAUACCCAGUUAGCAAUAAGGUCCCAUACUAUAACCCUUAAUCCAUACAUGGGGUAAAAUGACCAUUCUACCCCUGUCCAAGUACGAUCCAAAACUAAGGCCCAAACCCAAAACAAAAGCCCAACACUAUAAUAUCCAUAAAUCCAUUAAUGGCCCAAAUUUCCAAAUUGGGCCCAUACCUCUACACGGGUCUUGCCAUGAGGCCCAAUCCUUCUUUACAAUUCAGCACACUUAUAUUCUGAUGUCCUACUAAUAGUCCAAACACUUAAGCCCAAAAUGCUAAAAACCACUCGUGGCCCAAUCCAUGGCUCAAUUUUCCAAAUUAGGCUCAAGUCCUUCCGGGACCUUUUCAUCAUCACUAACAGCCCAAAACCAGAUGGCCCAACAUGGCCAAAGACAAACAAGCCCAAGAGCUGGCCCACACCAAAGCCCAAUACUCAUAACUCUAGCUGACUUAGUAUGCAGGGCGUACUUAGCUGUACACUAAGCGUACAAGCUGUUUGGCUUGUAGGCCCAAUGUACUACUCCUUUAAGCCAAAGUCUCAUUAAGCUCUUAAUGCUCGAUCCAACAAGUCCAAAUCACAAAUCUACUUCUAAAUGAACAACUAGAACCAUAAAGUCACUAACUUGGUGACUUUACAUGCCCCAAAAAGUCCAAAUAGCAUUCUACUUUCAUGGAAAUGACUCAAACUCCAACGUAGAUGGUCUUAAAUUUUAAAGGUACCAACUUUAUGGACCUUAAACCUCAGAAACACUAAGAGGGGCACCUCAAAGCUCCUGGAAUCUAGACCACCAGAUCUCAUCCUUGGGACCAAAAUGAACUAAAACUCACAAAUGAGAGAUCUAAGAUAUCAAUGAUAAAGUUCAUAGCUUUAUACCUUCAUCAAGCUGACAAUGAGUCCCAAAAGACAGAUCUAUAAGCUUCUCCUCGAUCCCCAUUCUUUGCAUCAAACUCCACCUUCUUGAAAAUAGACCAAACACUCCAAAAAUGGACUUCAUAAUCUCAAAAUUCCACCACGAAUGAUUAAGGACGAUUUCUAGGGUUUUAGAGGGUGAAGGCUGACUUAGAAUGAAGAAGGAGGCUUAACAUUAUGCUUAUAUAGGGUACAACCCUUGAAUUAGUUUUUUCAACCUGACGCUUGUACGCCCAACGUACCUUCUCGUACCUCUCGCGCACGAGGCCACACAACCCGAUCCAAUCCUUGCAUAUACGCUACUUAUUCCUCCAGCUACACCCCGCAUAGUUCCUUCUCUUCGGUACGCCCUACGUACCACUUCGGUAUGCCUUGCGUACUAGGGCUUUUCCUAAAAUGCUAAUUCUUCCGAAGGCUAUAACUUACUGGAUACAACUCCGAUUCCAACCAUUCACAUAUCCAUAGAAAGGUAUCGAGUGUUGGGUUUUGAGCAUUCUAACACUUCCUAAGUGUACAUGCAACCCUAAUAAACCUUGGAUCUAUAUAUGUCUAAAAUACAUGCAAAAUUUGUUUUCAAAAGUUUAUGACUUAUCUAGCAUGGCAUGGGGAACUUUUAAACAUAAAAGAACUAGAUGAAUUACAUACCUUUUGAUGAGUGUUGAUUCCUUGGAGUUUGAGAGCCAAGCACCAAUAAUGUGAAUGUCUCAAAUGGAAAUUACAAAUCACCACAAGCUUGGAAAACCUUAUGAAAGUGUAUACUUUGCACUAGAAAUCGGCCACCACUUCUCACACCCACUAGGGUGUCAAUUCAUGCAACAUAAGCUUGUUUAUAUAGUGUAGAUGAUUAGGGUAAACCCUAAUAACCCAUUUCUUUUCCUAUUCCAAGGAUCCAUGGGUUAAAAGCUCCAUGGAUCAUCCAUGGACUUCCAUAUAAGCUAAGCCCAUUCCCAAAUGAGUGUUGGCCGACACCAUAUAAAUAUAAUAGUCCAUGAUUGAAUUAGUCUUCCUUUUAAUCACUAAAUCAAUUCAUAAUUAAUUUAAGAUUAAAACAUAAUUAAAUAACAUGACUUUAUAUUAAUAUAUUAUAACUUAUAAUAUAUUAAUAAAACAUAAGUAUACAAUUCUUAUAAUAUUAUCCAUAAAUCGUUUGGGUGAAGUGCAACCCAAAUGGACCAUGUUGGGUCGGGUCAAGUAUAUACCAAAUAAGUUAUGGACUUAGACACCUUAUCCAACAGACUCCCACUUGGAUAAGUCUAAUAACUAUAUUUGCCUAUAUUACUUCAGGAACCAACCAGCAAUCGUAGCUCUCGAAAACUCUGUUGAACUAUGAAGCGCCAUUUUAAGACAAGUGAUCAUAUAAUCCUCUGUUCUCAUGAUAUCAGCCGGACAAACACAUGGAACUAUGUCUUGCUUAUUGUCUGGCAGUUGUUUCUCGAUUUCCGAUUUGUUUGACAAAGAACUUUACUGAACACAUCAGUUUAGUUCUGACCGGGCCCGAUACAUGGGUCAACACAAAAUCAUCGAGGGGCCCAGAUAUCGCUUCUAUUUCUAGAAGGAACAGAUAAACUUCGACUCAUAUGCUUGUUCUACUACUUGUUGAAUUGCACACAAAGGCACGUUUUAUAACAUCAUGUUACUGAUGUGUUUUCGUGCAAUCAAUGCACAACCAACUCAUAGGUAACAACUCAUAUCUCUAGGUUUGAAGACUUAUAUGAUAUUAUCGUCUAACGAUCACUCGAGAUAAAUUCGAUGAAGUGAUACAAGUGAGCGUGGGUUUAUUCCAAUACUCAUAACUUAUGAGCACUCAUGAACGUUGUAGUAACCAUUGCUAUGUCUAAACACCUUUAGCCAUCUACAAACCCAAUUCAUGACAAUCUUGAUUCAUACCUACUUCCGACGUAUGACCGAUUGUGGAGGUUUGAACAAAUUAAUUAUUAUGGAAGUCAAAACAUGCAAAACUGAAACAAUAGUAAAUAAUUGACAAUGAUAGCAACACUUUACUCAUAAAUAAAUCACAAAUUUUAUUCAUCAUCAAACGUCGAUUACAUUUUACAAGUUUCAGAAAAGGCUAUCUAAUUUGUAAAACUAGUAUUGUCCCUCAGCCUGAUGCGUCUCGCAUGCUGCAAAUGCUUAACCCUCAUCAGUCCCUUCGUAAGGGGAUCUGCAGGGUUCUCAUCUGACGAUAACCUCUUUGCCAUGAGGAGUCCUUCUUCUAUCGUGUGUCUUAUGAAGUGAUAUUUUCUGUCAAUGUGUUGGGAUCUGCCAUGAUCUCUCGGUUACUUGGCUAAGGCAACUGCACUAUUGUUGUCACAGAAAAUCUCCAUAGGCUCCUUAAUAGCUGGUACAACUCCAAGGUCUCCGAUGAAGCUCUUCAGCCAUAUCGCCCCCUUCGCUGCUUCACUCGCUGAUAUAUACUCUAAUUCACAAGUCGAAUCAGCCACCGUCUCCUGAUUGGAACUCUUCCAAGAGAUUUCCCCUCCAUUUAGGGUAAAGACCCAGCCCGACUGAGAGCGGAAGUUAUCCCUAUCAGUCUGAAAACUAGCAUCACUAUACCCUAAUACUCUCAAGUCAUCACUCCCACCAAGGGUAAGGAUCCAAUCCUUAGUCCUCCGCAGGUACUUGAAAAUGUUCUUUACCGCGGUCCAAUGAGCCUUGCCAGGGUUCCCCUGAUAUCUGCUGACCAUGCUUAAAUCAAAGGCCACAUCAAGGCGGGUACAAGUUAUAGCAUACAUGAUCGAGCCUACAAUAGAAGCAUACGGUAAUCGACUCAUCUCUGCUAUCUCAGCCUCUAUACUCGGACUCUGAGUCUUACUCAGUUUGGCAUUGCUUUGGAUCGGUAAAUCUCCUUUCUUGGAAUUCUGCAUGUUUAUCCUUUUCAACACCUUAUCCAAGCUGGUACUCUGACUAAGUCCAAUUAGUCUUUUACUCCUUUCUCUUAAUAUCCUUAUCCCCAGAUAUAGGCAGCUUCCCCGAAGUCCUUCAUAGCAAAGCACUUCCCAAGCCAGGACUAAACCUCCUGUAAGGUUAGGAUGUCAUUUCCUAUAAGUAGUAUGUCAUCUACAUACAGUACCAAGAAGCUAACUAUACUCCCACUAGCUCUGACAUACACGCAAGACUCAUAUUCACUUCUCGAGAAACCAAACUCUUUGGCCUUCUCAUCGAAACAAAGAUUCCAGCUACGAGAUGCUUGUUUUAAUCCAUAAAUGAAUUUCUCAAGCUUUCACACUCUAUUAGGCUAUUCUACACUGACAAAACCAUUUGGUUGAUUCAUGUAUACAUCCUCAGCCAAAUUUCCAUAAAGAAAAGCGGUUUUGACAUCCAUUUUCCAUAUUUCAUAAUCAUGAAAUGCGGCAAUGGCUAGCAUAACCCUAAUAGACUUAAUCUUUGCUACCGGUGAGAAGGUUUCAUCAUAAUCAAUACCCUAAGUCGGAGUAAAACCCUUCGCAACCAGUCGAGCCUUAUAAGUGUGCACUUUUCCUUCCAUGUCAGUCUUCUUCUUGAAGAUCCAUUUGCACCCGACUAUUUUACGGCCUGGUACAUUGUCAACCAAGUUCCAAACUUGAUUGUCAUACAUGGACUGUAUCUCGCUGUCCAUAGCCUCCUUCCAUUUAGCAGACUUCGGGCCUGCCAUGGCUUCCUUAACACUGCUAGGUUCAUCCAAAUUUACCAGUGUACUAUUGCUGAUAAAUGUAUCACCUUCCGUAAUAAUAUGAAAACCAUAAUAAAACUCAGGUGUGUUCCUAACCCGUGUGGAACGCCUCGGAGGUAUAGACUCAUCAGCUGGCUCAACAGGAGUUUCCUCCUCAGGUUGAUUGCUUUGUUUGAGGUUCCUUCACCAAUUGAUUCUUGAAUUUCUUCAAGGUCAAUUUGCCUCCUACUGUCUCCUUGGCUAAUAAACUCUCUCUCACGAAAGCCCCCUUUUCUUGCUACAAAGACCACAUUCUCACUGGUUCUGUAGAAAAGGUAACCAAAGGAUUUCUAUGGGUAGCCGAUGAAAAUACACCUUUCACUUCGGGGUUCGAGCUUAUCAUUAGUAUCAUGCCUCACAAAAGCUUCGGAACCCCAAAUAUUGAUAUGGUCCAAAUUGGGAACCUUCCCAGUCCACAUCUCAUGAGGUGUUUUGGCAACCUUUUUUGUAGGGACUAGAUUAAGGAUAUUGGCGGUAGUAUCUAAGGCCNCCCCCAAAAAGAGAUUGGUAGCGAAGCUUGACUCAUCAUGGAGCGAACCAUGUCCAACAAGGUCCGAUUAUGCCUCUCAGCCACACCAUUCAACUGUGGUGUCCUGGGAGGUGUCAAUUGUGAGACAAUCCCACACUGCUUAAGAUAGUCGAGGAACUCUGUACUAAGAUACUCACCACCUCGAUCGGAUCGAAACAUCUUAAUGUUCCUGCCCAAUUGAUUUUCUACUUCAUGUUUAAAUUCUUUAAACCUUUCAAGGGUUUCUGACUUAUGUUUGAUUAAGUAGACAUAACCAUAUCUACUAAAAUCAUCAAUUAAAGUCACAUAAUACUGAUUAGCAUCUCUUGUGGUGGUUUUGAAUGGUCCACAUACAUCAGUAUGUAUUAGGUCCAACAAACCCUCACCCCGUUCACAAGUACCAGUGAAGGGUGAUUUUGUCAUCUUUCCAAGUAGACAAGAUUCACAACUAUCAUCCGACUUAAGGUCAAAUGAUGCCAAGACUCCAUCCUUUUGGAGUUGGCCUAUGCGUUUCUUGUUUACAUGUCCAAGACGACAAUGCCACAAUGAUGCUUUAUCUAGGCUAGUAGAAGAAUCAAUAUACAAUACACUAUUUCCUAAGUUGUCUACAACCAACACAGUUUCUUACAUACCAUCAGAAGGUAAUGCUUUAAAAUAAAACACAUUAUUAAAGAAAGCAUUAAUACCACCACAUUCAUUAUCAAAUGAAAAGGUAAAGCCUUGUUUGUACAAACCAUGAAAAGAAAUAAUAUUUCUCGCCAUUUUAGACGAGUACACACAUUUAUUCAAAUCUAACUUUAACCCACUACUUAGCAACAAGGUAUAAACUCCAAUCUUGGAAACAGGUGAAGCCUUCCUAUUUCCCAUAAUCAGGUUUAUCUUCCCGUGCUCCACAUCCUCACUUUUUCUUAGGCCCUUCAAAUUUGAACAUAUGUGAAUAGCACAUCCUGUAUCAAGCACCCAAGAGUUAGAAUAUGGUGCGUUAUUAGACAAUAUUGUGUAAAUACCUACGUGGGUGGGUUUCACUUUCCCAUCCUUUAGAUCCUGCAAGUACUUAGGGCAGUUUCACUUCCAGUGCCCCUUGUCCUGGAUAUAGCAGCAAUCAGCAUCCUUGGGAAUGGUAGAAGGAGUGACAGAACCGCUCUUGGUCCUUGAUGAGGAGCCUUCAAGAGACUUUCCCUUGGUACCCUUCGAAGGGGACUUCCUCUUUUUCUCUUUGCCUUGCCCGAUAGCCAAAACAGGGGUAGUGUUGGAUUAAUGUCUAAGUCCAUAACUAUAAUUGGUAAGACUUGACCCGACCCGGCAUGGUCCAUUUGGGUUGCAUACCAUCAUGCACUUGGAUAGACUAUAAUGAGAGAAAUAAGACACUUAUGGUUAUUAAUAUAUUAUAAGUUCUAGUAUAUUAAUAAUAAGAAUAAUGAGAUUAUUUAAUUAGUAUUGAUCAAGAAUUAAUCUAGGAUUAAUUAAGUGAUCAAAAGAAGACUAAUUAAAUAUAUGGGUUGAUUGUGUAAAUCAUCCAUACUUGUAUAGUGGGCUAAGCUCCAUGGAUAAUCAAGUUGGGCUAAAACCCAUAGGAUGGUCCAUGGAUGCUCCAUGGUGUAUUUGUACCCAUGGAUCCAAGGAAAUCGAAAGUCAUGACAAUUAAGGGUUUACCCUAGUUGUAACACUAUAUAAAGAUCACAUUCUUGGAAAAAAAAUGGGUGACUAGUAUCACACUAGAGAAAGUAAGAAAGGGCUAGCCAAUUUCAUGAGUGUAGAAUUCUCUCAAGUCAUUCCAUUUGUAUUUGGUGUUGUGUGAACCAUUUUAGGUGUCACACUUGGAGCACUAGGCACUCAAGCUUCAUGAAGACUUUCUACAUCAAAGAGGUAUGUAUUCUAUCUUGUUACAUUCAUUGUUUUGUAUGCUAGAUUAGGAUAAUACCUUGGAAGUUCUUAUUUGCAUGUAUAAUAGAGAAAACAUAGAUCCAAGGUAUUUAGGGUUGCAUGUACACUUAGGAGUGUUAGAAUGCUCAAAACCCAACAGUGGUAUCAGAGCCUAGGCUUGUUUUCUUGUUAUACNNNNNNNNNNNNNNNNNNNNNNNNNNNNNNNNNNNNNNNNNNNNNNNNNNNNNNNNNNNNNNNNNNNNNNNNNNNNNNNNNNNNNNNNNNNNNNNNNNNNNNNNNNNNNNNNNNNNNNNNNNNNNNNNNNNNNNNNNNNNNNNNNNNNNNNNNNNNNNNNNNNNNNNNNNNNNNNNNNNNNNNNNNNNNNNNNNNNNNNNNNNNNNNNNNNNNNNNNNNNNNNNNNNNNNNNNNNNNNNNNNNNNNNNNNNNNNNNNNNNNNNNNNNNNNNNNNNNNNNNNNNNNNNNNNNNNNNNNNNNNNNNNNNNNNNNNNNNNNNNNNNNNNNNNNNNNNNNNNNNNNNNNNNNNNNNNNNNNNNNNNNNNNNNNNNNNNNNNNNNNNNNNNNNNNNNNNNNNNNNNNNNNNNNNNNNNNNNNNNNNNNNNNNNNNNNNNNNNNNNNNNNNNNNNNNNNNNNNNNNNNNNNNNNNNNNNNNNNNNNNNNNNNNNNNNNNNNNNNNNNNNNNNNNNNNNNNNNNNNNNNNNNNNNNNNNNNNNNNNNNNNNNNNNNNNNNNNNNNNNNNNNNNNNNNNNNNNNNNNNNNNNNNNNNNNNNNNNNNNNNNNNNNNNNNNNNNNNNNNNNNNNNNNNNNNNNNNNNNNNNNNNNNNNNNNNNNNNNNNNNNNNNNNNNNNNNNNNNNNNNNNNNNNNNNNNNNNNNNNNNNNNNNNNNNNNNNNNNNNNNNNNNNNNNNNNNNNNNNNNNNNNNNNNNNNNNNNNNNNNNNNNNNNNNNNNNNNNNNNNNNNNNNNNNNNNNNNNNNNNNNNNNNNNNNNNNNNNNNNNNNNNNNNNNNNNNNNNNNNNNNNNNNNNNNNNNNNNNNNNNNNNNNNNNNNNNNNNNNNNNNNNNNNNNNNNNNNNNNNNNNNNNNNNNNNNNNNNNNNNNNNNNNNNNNNNNNNNNNNNNNNNNNNNNNNNNNNNNNNNNNNNNNNNNNNNNNNNNNNNNNNNNNNNNNNNNNNNNNNNNNNNNNNNNNNNNNNNNNNNNNNNNNNNNNNNNNNNNNNNNNNNNNNNNNNNNNNNNNNNNNNNNNNNNNNNNNNNNNNNNNNNNNNNNNNNNNNNNNNNNNNNNNNNNNNNNNNNNNNNNNNNNNNNNNNNNNNNNNNNNNNNNNNNNNNNNNNNNNNNNNNNNNNNNNNNNNNNNNNNNNNNNNNNNNNNNNNNNNNNNNNNNNNNNNNNNNNNNNNNNNNNNNNNNNNNNNNNNNNNNNNNNNNNNNNNNNNNNNNNNNNNNNNNNNNNNNNNNNNNNNNNNNNNNNNNNNNNNNNNNNNNNNNNNNNNNNNNNNNNNNNNNNNNNNNNNNNNNNNNNNNNNNNNNNNNNNNNNNNNNNNNNNNNNNNNNNNNNNNNNNNNNNNNNNNNNNNNNNNNNNNNNNNNNNNNNNNNNNNNNNNNNNNNNNNNNNNNNNNNNNNNNNNNNNNNNNNNNNNNNNNNNNNNNNNNNNNNNNNNNNNNNNNNNNNNNNNNNNNNNNNNNNNNNNNNNNNNNNNNNNNNNNNNNNNNNNNNNNNNNNNNNNNNNNNNNNNNNNNNNNNNNNNNNNNNNNNNNNNCAUGGUCCAUUUGGGUUGCAUGGCAUCAUGCACUUGGAUAGACUAUAAUGAGAGAAAUAAGACACUUAUGGUUAUUAAUAUAUUAUAAGUUCUAGUAUAUUAAUAAUAAGAAUAAUAAGAUUAUUUAAUUAGUAUUGAUCAAGAAUUAAUCUAGGAUUAAUUAAGUGAUCAAAAGAAGACUAAUUAAAUAUAUGGGUUGAUUGUGUAAAUCAUCCAUACUUGUAUAGUGGGCUAAGCUCCAUGGAUAAUCAAGUUGGGCUAAAACCCAUAGGAUGGUCCAUGGAUGCUCCCUGGGGUAUUUGUACCCAUGGGUNCCCUAGUUGUAACACUAUAUAAAGAUCACAUUCUUGGAAAAAAAAUGGGUGACUAGUAUCACACUAGAGAAAGUAAGAAAGGGCUAGCCAAUUUCAUGAGUGUAGAAUUCUCUCAAGUCAUUCCAUUUGUAUUUGGUGUUGUGUGAACCAUUUUAGGUGUCACACUUGGAGCACUAGGCACUCAAGCUUCAUGAAGACUUUCUACAUCAAAGAGGUAUGUAUUCUAUCUUGUUACAUUCAUUGAUUUGUAUGCUAGAUUAGGAUAAUACCUUGGAAGUUCUUAUUUGCAUGUAUAAUAGAGAAAACAUAGAUCCAAGGUAUUUAGGGUUGCAUGUACACUUAGGAGUGUUAGAAUGCUCAAAACCCAAUAGGUAGAUGUUGGAGUAGGAGUAGUAGAGGUAACAACCGACUUGCCCUUAAGACCGGUUUCAGCGGUCUUUAAGAGUCCUUGAAGUUUGCUAAGAGUAACUUCCUCCUUGUUCAUAUGAUAUGUCAUACGAAAUUGGUCAUAACAAGAAGGUAAUGAGUGCAAAAUAAUGUCAAUUGCCAACUCCUCAGGGAAGUUCACGUUUAGCUUGAGUAAACGGUCCACAUACCUUUGCAUAUUUUGCAUGUGGCCCGUGAUGGAUUCACCAUCCUUUAUGCGGUUUGUUAUCAUGGGGGAGAUUAUUUCAUACUGCUCCUGAAGAGCACUCUGAUGGUACCUUUCCAUCAGGUCUUGGUGCAUCUAAAAAGGGUAAAAGUCCUCAUAGGACUUUUGGAGCUCGACUGUCAUCAUGGCCAUCAUGAUGCAUGCUACCUUAGUAGCAUCUCUAUCAUGCAUCCUGAAUUCAGCGACCUCCUCAGGAGUAGCAGUGGACUCAUCAAGCUCCUUUAAUUCCUUAUCGAGGAUGUAUUCCUUUUCCUCAUAACGAGUAACCAUCCUGAUGUUCCUAAUCCAUUCCAUGAAGUUGGAACCAUCAAAGAUGACUCUCCCACAAAGAUUCAUGAGAGAGAAAGAGCCAAUGGGGUUAGAGCCCGAAGCAUUGUUGUUGGAAGACAUCUGAAAGAAGAAAGCAAGUUUAGAUUAGAUAUAUAUAGAGUCUUAAUAAGACACCCAAAUGUAAUAUUAAGGCUAGGAUCCAAUCACAAUAUAUUAUACUUAGAAGAGGGAUGUCGUAAUCUAAGUAAUAACAUAUUUGAAAGGUAGGUGAAUGACGAUUCACCAAUUUCCACCAUGAUAAACAAAAUGAAUUAUUAGGUUUUAAUUGGUUUUGAAAUUCCUAGAUUCUUUUGAGAUUCAUUGAACUUUUCAAUGGCAUGUUUCAAUCUCGAUUGUGCCCUUCAAUUUUUGUGACCGGGAUAUCGAGGAUCACAAAACAAGGUGUGAAUAACCAUGCUAAUUCACUUGGUACCUUAAUAUUAUCACCUAAUCAGUGUGCCGGUUAACCACACACGCUUCAUUAAUCUAUGAAAAACAUUAAGUCACCCUUCAUGAUCUUUACUAGUCCAAGUAGUGUGUCGGUUAACCACACACGCUCCACCAACGACUCGGUAAAGUACAAAGUGUGAAUUCCAUUUACUAGCACCAUGUUCACAUUUUUCCUAAAGUAACUAAGAUUGGGAAUUAAAAUAUUUAGUUACUUUAUAAUAAUCAUUAUACUUUUAAAGAGAAUUUAAAUUCAUUGUCCUACUCGUUCGGCUAACGACCCUCCACCGAUCAAGGAAGCGAUGGGUGAGAGUGGACACCCAUUAAGCUGUCAUUUUAUAGGUAACAACCUUAUACCCCCCCUUAUAGACCGGCUUCGUGAAUGAGGCCUACUAACGGUAAAACGACUUAUUCUUAUACAUAUAUAUAAUAAUUAACCAUUAAUGUUAUAAAUAGCAUAAGUGUUGAAUUUUAACUAUUAAAACUCUAAGGGUUGGAAUUAAAGUUAAUUAAAGUGUGUGAAACUUAACAAAUUCCAAAACUUGGGGGCAAGUUUUGUAACUAUUCAAAACUUAUCAUUUCAUAACUUAUGAAUUAAAAGUUCAUAAAAUGAAGACUCUUCAUUUUUAUGUAACUUAUGUGUUUUAAAUGUGUGUUUAAAAGAAGUGACCUUUGGAUAUCCAUAACUUGAGGACAAAUUAUGGACUUCAUUAAAACACAUAAAUGAUCAAGAAUUAAUCCUAAAAAAUUAAGCAAAUAAUUCCUAUCAUCUUCUAAAUUCAUAAGAACAUGAACAUGAUCAUCAAAGUUUCAAGGAUUAUAUGAACACAUACAAAGCAUGAAAUUUUGAUAUAAGAUAUUGUAAAUGGAUUAGAACAACCAUUAUACCAACUAAAACAAGUUUUAAAACACCAAAAAAGUUUAGGGUAAUGUUUCUAGUCCAUUUCCAGCAACAAAAGUUGAAAAUCUGCAUUUUCAGGCUUCUACUCAUCGAGUGCACGAACCUACUCAACGAGUAGGAUGAAUUCAGUCAUGGACUCGGCGAGUCCCCCCAUGGACUCGACGAGUUCAUCAUGCAGACAGUAAGAAAAUUGACUUUUUUCACUAUUUUGCAUCAAGUAUCAAACAAACAAGCCUAGGCUCUGAUACCACUGUUAGGUUUUGAGCAUUCUAACACUUCCUAAGUGUAAAUGGAACCCUAAUAAACCUUGGAUCUAUGUUUGUCUAAAAUACAUGCAAAAUUUGUUUUCCAAGGUUUAUGACUUAUCUAGCAUGGCAUGGGGAACUUUUAAACAUAAAAGAACUAGAUGAAUUACAUACCUUUUGAUGAGUGUUGAUUCCUUGGAGUUUUAGAGCCAAGCACCAAUAAUAUGAAUGCCUCAAAAGGAAAUCACAAAUCACCACAAACUUGGAAAACCUUAUGAAAGUGUAUACUUUGCACUAGAAAUCGGCCACCACUUCUCACACCCACUAGGGUGUCAAUUCAUGCAACAUAGGCUUAUUUAUAUAGUGUAGAUGAUUAAGGUAAACCCUAAUAACCCAUGUCUUUUCCUCUUCUAAGGAUCCAUGGGUUAAAAGCUCCAUGGGUCAUCCAUGGACUUCCAUAUAAGCUAAGCCCAUUCCCAAAUGAGUGUUGUCCCACAUCAUAUAAAUAUAAUAGUCCAUGAUUUAAUUAGUCUUCCUUUUAAUCACUAAAUCAACUCAUAAUUAAUUUAAGAUUAAAACAUAAUUAAAUAACAUGACUAUAUAUUAAUAUAUUAUAACUUAUAAUAUAUUAAUAAAACAUAAGUAUAAAAUUCUCAUAAUAUUAUCCACAAAUCAUUUGGGUGAAGUGCAACCCAAAUGGACCAUGCCGGGUCGGGUCAAGUAUAUACCAAAUAAGUUAUGGACUUAGACACCUUAUCCAACAUCAAGAUGCUAAACGUUGUUAUCAAUUCCUGCCUACCAUAAAUAUUCCGAACUAAGAUCCACUUUCCACAAAGGUCCGAACUCUUUAGUGGCAUGUUUAAUCUCGAUUAUGCCCUUCAAAUUUGUGACUGGCAUACCGACGAUCACAAAUAAGGUGUGAAUAACCAUGAAAAUUAGCUUGGUACUCUCGAUGUCAUUUACCACUUAAUCAAUGUGUCGGUUAACCACACGCGCUCCAUUGAUCAGUGAUAAUUUACGAGUGACCCAUUGUCACCCUUUGUUAGUCCAAGUUAGUGUGCCAGGUAACCACACACGCUCCACUAACAACUAGCCAAAGUGCAAUGUGCAAUUUCAUGGAUUAACAUAAAAUUCACAUUUUCCUAAAGUAACUAAGAUUGAGAAUUUUAUAAAAACAUUUUGUUACUUUAUAUUUAUCAUUAUACUUAUUAAUGAGGAUUUAAUGUCUUAUCCUACCCGUUCAGAUAACGACCCUCCACUAGUCAAGAGUGAGGUGGGUAAGAGGGGAUACCUAAUGGCUGUCAUUUUAUAAGUCGCUUCCUUAAACACCCGUUAUACACCAGCUUCGUGAAUGAGGCAUACUAACAGUAAGACUGACUUUUCUUAUAUAUAUAUAUAUAUANACUCUAUCUCUCUCUCUCUCUCUCUCUAUAUAUAUAUAUAUAUAUAUAUAUAUAUAUAUUAAACUUUUAAUUUUAUAAUAGUAUAAGGGUGUAUUUUAAGCUUUUAAAAUACUAGGGUUCUAGAAUUUAAGAUUUCAAAAUUAAACUUUUAAUUAAAUUUUAAAUUCUUAAACCAAAGGGGUAUUAUUGAAACUUUUCAAAAAAAUACAAGAUCAAAAUUUUAAAUAACUAAAUUAAUCAAAUAAUUUUUUCAUUAUCUUAAAAUUUGACCAAAUCUCUUAAUUUGAUAAGGAUAUACAUAUAUCUUUCCAAAAAUUCAAUUUUAGGCAUUAAAAACGAAUUGUGGUAAUAACCCUAAUCAAACUGAGAUAUGGAAAUCAAAAAAACAGGGAUCUAACAGCCUGACUCGUCAAGUUAUUGCAAUGAACUCGUUGAGUAGGCUCAACUCGUCGAGUCCCAUGAGGAACUCAUCGAGUCUGAUGAAUAGAGCGACGGAUCUGUUCCAUCCUCCUUUGGACAAUUUACAGAAGCAUCAAAUACAACUGAAAAACAUCCUAGGCUCUAAUACCACUGAAGGGUUUUGAGCAUAACUAUGUGUUCAUGCAACCCUAAUUGCUUUAGAUCUAAGUUUUUCACUGGUUGAACAUGUAAUUGAAUAUCAAAGCAAUAUAGCCUAGAUCUAGCAUACAAUUUCGAAAAAUCAUAUAACAAAAGGGUUUUUGAUGAUUACCUUAACUUGUUAUGUAGAUCUUUGACUACUGAAAGCUUAGCGCCUCAAAUGUUGCACCUCUAAUGAAUUAUAAACACCACUAGCAAAAGGAUGAGAGGAGAUAGGAGGGAAGGCUCUUAGAUCUUCAGCUAGGGUUUCCUAUUACCAAGCAUUGGCCGAAAAUCCCACCCCUAGGGCUUCCUUAUAUAGCUGAGGGUUGCUAGGGUUUCUGGAGGAAACCCUAAUUUGUUGCUGAGGACUAAAGCAACCCAUAGACCCUUUCCAAUAGGCCUUGGACGAAAUCUAUAGGGCCACCCUAUACGAUUUCAUCCAUUCCUAAUUAAGGAGUGCAUCAACCCAGUUUCACAACAAUAAACGAUUUGCAAAAUAUCCUCUGUUCCUUUAAUCAGUUCUUUGAAUCCCAAAAUUAGUUCUAAAUUAAUUUCUGAUUAAAUACUAAUUAAAUAACAUGAUUUCUAAUUAAUAUAUUAUUUUGAUAAUACAUUAAUAAAUCAAUUUAUUAAUCCAAAUAAUAAAUUUAACCUUUCUCUCCAAAAAUCAUUCUGUCAAGUUGUUAAGGUGAAGGUAACCUAAAAGGACCAUUCUACUAUCAAAUCAAGUACAUACCAAAUAUAGUUAUAGUCUUAGACGCCUAAUCCAACAACAACUGCCUUGGAACCUGCCUCGCAGGACCAUAUCGAAAGGAAUGAUCCUCUCGCAACCUGUAACAAAAAAACAAAUCAUAUAUAAGGGGAUCGGUAAAGCCCUGACUUCACCCUAUCGAGAUUUAUGUACAAGGGGGGGGGGGGAGGAGGAUAUGCAGACUCAUAAUCCUUCUCCACAAAGAACUGAGUCAUCAUCUUUAACACUGUAAAUUUUCAACCAAAGUUUUCAUUUUUAAAAUCUCAUAAAUCCCAUCAAACACAAGUUAACAAAAAUCAAAAUGUCAAGUUAUCAAAACAUGGGAUCAUAAUUUAUUUAAACACCCUCCAAGAUCCCCAACAUAACUGUGUUGCGUGUGUACAAUCAAGCCGAUGCCUUCCCGUGAUCCCGAGAAGUACAUGAAACACAUAACACGGUAAGCACGAGGCUUAGUGAGUUCCCCAAAAUACCUCACUUAACUCAUUAGCCUCUCAUGGCCAUGAUCGAACAAGACCCUCCGGUCAAUGUGUCUCAGUGGGACCAUUUGGUCCAUUCCCACAACUCGGGUGGACCUUCUGGUCCUAACUCAACAGGCUUAGAAUAAUACAUAGCAUAAAUUACAAGACAUAAAGCAGGAUAUCACAAAACUCAAUAUAACACAUAUGACCCUUAGGUCACACAAUUAUUACCACUCUAGGUAAGUAUAUUGAGAAGACUCACAUUGUAAGCAUGCUAGCAAAUAAACCUGAACACGAAUCCCGAACUAGCCUCCGCCUAACACAUAGGGUAAAUAUCUCUAGUUAAUACUCUAUUCACAAAUUUAAACAAACCCAGGUUAUUCUCUAUAUCUCUCUAAUUCUCGAAGUGUGUAAAAGACCAUUUUACCUUCAUGGUCUCCAUUCCUAAUAUUUGACCAAACCCUAAAGUUAAUAGCAGUCAAGCUCGAGUCAACAGUCAAAAAUAUCCUCACUCGUCGAGUGCACUCAUGCAACUCGUCGAGUCCCCUCGUUUCCUCAGAAGUCUCAUGAACUUCCAGCUCAACUCGUUGAGUUCAUCUCCCAACUCGUCGAGUUAUCGCAUAAACAAGCUUAUCUGGACAAACCCUAACCGACUCGUCGAGUCAGUUCAUCGACUCGUCGAGUCCUUUCAGAGUCUUUCUUAUUCAGACGUUUUUAAGGCAGAAAGCAACCCCAAACUCUAGAUCUAAUCUCUCAAUACUCAAUUAUCACGUAAAGCCACAAGCUUUAUGUCCAUGCAUGGCACUUAGGACUUAGAAUGCCAAAAAACAUGAUCCAAUAAGGGUUUUCACUAAUGAGCUCUAUUAUGGCUGAAUAAAGUUAGGACUUUUGGACUCUUGGGACCUCACAAGGUCCAAAUCUAAAGUCCAAACCUCUAGAUGAAUCAAAAACACUCCAUGCCCCAAAAUAAUGCAUGGAAAAAGCCCUAAACUCCUUAAACAUGAGAUCUAUCCAACAUAAUGAGAAAGGUGUCGACUUAGUGCCUCUCAUAGAAGCUCUGGAUGAAAUAGCAACAUAUAUGAAAUCCCCUUCUCGUUCUUUUCUUGAAAUCCUUCCCUUCUCUUCAAAAGAUGCACUAAAACACCCAAGGUUUAGCCCAAUAACUCUCUUAGCUCACUACUAACGAUUAGGGUUUCUCUUAAGGGUGAAGGGUGACUGGUGAGGCAGAAAUGAGGGUAUAAGGCUCCAUAAAUAGGCCCCAAUGUAACACCCAUUUAUUUAUUAAAUUAAUUAAUUAAUGUAUAGUAGCCCUAAAACCAAUAAUUAUAUGUAGGGUGUUUGUUUCGAGGAGUUAAUUGGCACAAUUUUAGAAGUCGGGGAUUAAAAGUAUAAGUUUUGGAUGGGUUCCAUAAAGAAUUAUGAGGGCAGGGAUUACUUGGUAAUUAUUGGGACUUCAUUUGAAAAGAAUUUGUAGAGGAGAGGCUAUUUUAGUAAAAAUCGGACCUGGAUUGUAAAGGAUUUAAUGUUGAGGGUUUAUAUGGUAAAUAUUGGAUUACAUUUGAAUAAAAAGGGGCAUGGAGGGACUGUUGUUGCCAUUAUGGAAAACUCUGGAGUGGAGUCGGGUAUAAAGGUUUAACCAAACCCUAACCCUACUGAAGAUGUGAAACCGUCACCCUUUCCCCUCUUAUGCCUCCCACCGCCGGUUUUCUCACUUGUCUCUCCGACCAACUAAGCUCAGCAAGGCCAUCGCUACCCCUCCUCCCAUCGGAGUCCGCUGCCACCAUUCUUCCAUCGAUGAAGUUUUUUUUUAUUGCCGUUGUGUGGACGAGCCUACUGUCGCCGCUCCUUCUCCAUUGAUGCCACGACGUCGCUGCUGGGGUUUCCUGUCGGAGGUUGCGCACCUUCCUCAUCUUCGGGAUUCUACUUGUGUUGGUUUUCGGGAGCUGUUGUUAAAGGUCGUAUGAUGCUGGUGGGGUUUUUGGUCGAGUGUAACUGUGAAGAACCACCAUGGCAGCCGGCCAUGGAGGCUGCUACUGCGACUCGUGAGUAUGCUACCGUCACCGGACACCACUUGAUCGAUGGUUGGAUCAUAUGUGGAUGUCAGAACCGUGUAGGAGUAUGUGUUUGGUGUUGUGUUCCUGAAGCGUGUGUGUUUGUUUGUUGAUCGGAAGCGCAAAAGGAGAAACUGCCAUGGCCGCCAUGGUGGCUUCCGCCACCCACCAUCAUCGGCAACCAAGGUGGUUAUUUGUAUGUAUGUUUAGCUUAGUUAGUGGGUGUGUUACUUUGGUAUUUUCAUUGUAAUUGUAACAAAAAGAUGGUAUAAUGAAAAGAACUUGAAAACCACUACCUUAGGGUGGUGGCUGGCGCCUCCUGCCGCCACCGACCGCCGUGUCGGGUGGUGGUGUGCUUUGCCCCGUGGUGUUGAUUCGUUUAGGGUACUUGAAACCCUAAUGGGCCUUGUAAGCCCUAAUGGGCCCAAUGAAGCUUAAUAGACCUAAUUGACCUAAAUAAAACCCUAAUUGGCUUAAUGAUAUUCUUAUGGGCUUAAUAGGCCCAAUAAAGCCCUAAUUGACCUAAAAGCCUAACAAACUGAUAAAUGGGCUAAUAUUUGGAUUAGAAAGCCCAAAUGCCAAUAAAACCCUAAUUUGGGGAAUUAUCCGGGACACGCGGGAAUUAUUUAAUAACUUGAGAUAUUAAAUAAUAAUCAUUGGCAAAGAUUAAUCUAAGCGAUAUUGGACUUAAUGGAUUAAGUCCUUAGAGGAUUAAGUCCUUAAUGGGUUAAGUAGGAAACUUAACCCUAACCAUCAUUUUAUGUGAAACCCUAAUUUCACUUAGGUUUAUUGUUGGGUCUCUCUUUUGGGCCUUGAUGGUUGGGUUAUUAAUGGACCAUCCAAACUCAAGCAAUUAGACUAGAAUAAUUUAAUGGGCCUAGGGUAAGGCCCAUGUAAGGGGUUUGGGCUCAAUUUGGAAAAUUGGGCCAUAGUUUGGGCCUUAAUGAUUAUAUGAGGUUGGGCCUUAGAAUAAGACCAUGUGUAGGAUCGAAGGGUAGGUCAGUACCCCAGAUAUGUCUGGCUGUAUGAUUAUAUUAUGUUAUUAUAUGAUAGUGGUAGGGGUGAAAUAGUCCCCGGUUACCGGUUGAAAGAUACCGAUGACAGUUACCAGUUGAAAGAUACCAAAGGGGUAAACAGAACCCAUGCAAUGCUUACCUGUCUGGUUAUGAUAUGUCAGUAUGUGAUCAACAUGUUUAUGAUAUGUUAGUAUGUGAUCAACAUGUUUAUGAUAUGUUAGUAUGUGAUCAACAUGUUUAUGAUAUGUUAGUAUGUGUCACACCCCUAAGCCAGAACAGCGGAAACGUUCGGGUCAAAGGACGUCAUGUCAAAUAUAAUAACAGAUGAAUAGUAAAGAAAGUACACACCACCAUAAAAUAAAUGUAUUUGAAAAGGUUACAUGAUUGUAUGUGUUACAUGUUUGCAAAAGAAAUCAAAUACAAUAUGGUGAUCCAAAAUAUGUUACUAACGCCAGCGCGUUAGUCUUCAAAAGUAGUUGCUAGCUAGUUAAACGGUUUCCUGAGAAUACAAGUUAUUUCAAAGAAAAACUGUCAACAAUAAAGUUGGUGAGUUCAUAAGUAGUGUUUUGAGAAAAUGAAUGCCAUUCGAAAGUUCGUGUAUGUUUUCCAUAAAAUCCCUUAUUUUCUAUUAAAUGUAUGAGAUGAGUAUGAAAGAUCGUUGUAUAAACUGUAUAGAUUUGAAACAGGAAAAUCCAUUAUUUUCUUAAAAGUGAAAUAUAUCUCAAAUGACCAAGACAGUAAGUUGUAAGCAACUAUCACAUGCUUAAAAGGAUGAUGCAUAGUCUUAUUAUGAAACCAAACUAUAAGAAGAUCAUAUUUCUAAAUGAAAAGUGACUGUAAUAGUCCCUUUCCCUGUGAAAACAUAAUACCAAAAUAAUUGUCUAUCUAGUGAGUUUUUAUAACCGUACUAUCAUAGUUUUCUUGUAGCGACGUUCUUUAUGUUGGAUUAAUGUCUAAUUCCAUAUCUAUAAUUGGUAACACUUGACCCGACCCGGCAUGGUUCAUUUGGGUUGCAUGGCAUCAUGCACUUGGAUAGAUUAUAAUGAGAGAAAUAAGACACUUAUGGUUAUUAAUAUAUUAUAAGUUCUAGUAUAUUAAUAAUAAGAAUAAUGAGAUUAUUUAAUUAGUAUUGAUCAAGAAUUAAUCUAGGAUUAAUUAAGUGAUCAAAAGAAGACUAAUUAAAUAUAUGGGUUGAUUGUGUAAAUCAUCCAUACUUGUAUAGUGGGCUAAGCUCCAUGGAUAAUCAAGUUGGGCUAAAACUCAUAGGAUGGUCCAUGGAUGCUCCAUGGCGUAUUUGUACCCAUGGAUCCAAGGAAAUGGAAAGUCAUGACAAUUAAGGGUUUACCCUAAUUGUAACACUAUAUAAAGAUGACAUUCUUGGAAAAAAUGGGCGACUAGUAUCACACUAGAGAAAGUAAGAAAGGGCUAGCCAAUUUCAUGAGUGUAGAAUUCUCUCAAGUCAUUCCAUUUGUAUUUGGUGUUGUGUGAACCAUUUGAGGUGUCACACUUGGGGCACUAGGCACUCAAGCUUCAUGAAGACUUUCUACAUAGGAUGGUCCAUGGAUGCUCCAUGGCGUAUUUGUACCCAUGGAUCCAAGGAAAUGGAAAGUCAUGACAAUUAAGGGUUUACCCAAAUUGUAACAAUAUAUAAAGAUGACAUUCUUGGAAAAAAUGGGCGACCAGUAUCACACUAGAGAAAGUAAGAAAGGGCUAGCCAAUUUCAUGAGUGUAGAAUUCUCUCAAGUCAUUCCAUUUGUAUUUGGUGUUGUGUGAACCAUUUGAGGUGUCACACUUGGGGCACUAGGUACUCAAGCUUCAUGAAGACUUUCUACAUCAAAGAGGUAUGUAUUCUAUCUUGUUACAUUCAUUGAUUUGUAUGCUAGAUUAGGAUAAUACCUUGGAAGUUCUUAUUUGCAUGUAUAAUAGAGAAAACAUAGAUCCAAGGUAUUUAGGGUUGCAUGUACACUUAGGAGUGUUAGAAUGCUCAGAAGCCAACAGUAGUAUCAGAGCCUAGGCUUGUUUUCUUGUUAUACUUGGAAAACUGCUUAAAAAUCGAAACUGUUGAUGUCUGAUCAUCAGACUCGGCAAGUGCAUCAGGAGACUCGGCGAGUCCAUGCCUAAAAAGUGAUCAAAUCGAUCCAACUCGCCAAGUUGGUUCAUGCACUCGACGAGUUGGACCCCCAGACAGCAUAUUUUCGAGUUUUUUGGCUAGAAAUGGACUAGGAACAUUACCCUAAGUUGUUUUUGAACUUAUAAACUUGUUUUUGAUGUGGUAAUGUUCAUGCUAAUCCAUUUUCAAAGAUAAUUGUCAAUAGAUUCAUGUUUUGUAUUAGUUUAAGGUUUAGACUAAUUACAUGAAAAAGUUUGAUUUGAAUUAUCUUGUUCUUAUGAGUUGCAAAGAUUAAUAGAAAAGUUGAGUGAAAUAGUUGUUUUCAAUCCAAAUUAAUCUAAGAGUUGAUUCUNUCAUAAAACUCAUAAAAAUUGGCAAAGGUUACAAAAAUGAAGAGUCUAGUUCUAAUUAAAUGGUUUUAUGACUCCAUAACUUGUCCUCAAGUUAUGGAGGACCAAGUUAUGGAGGUUCAAGAGUCACUUCAUUAAGUAAUAAAAUAUGUAACCAUAAUUAAUUCCAUAAGUUAUAAAAUAAAGAAAAGUUAAUUCUUUCAUUAGUUUAAAGUCUUCCAUAACUUGUCCUCAAGUUAUGGAACUUGAAGAGUUUUUGGAUUAAAACUACUUUAAACACAUAAGUUAUGGAAUUAAUUAGUUUUGAAUAGUUUCAAAACUUGCCCUCAAGUUUUGGAAUUUGUAAAGUUUUCACUUAUGAAUACUUUAAUUCCAAGUUAGCCCUUAGAAUUUUAAAAGUUAAAAUUCAACCCUUAUACUUUAUAAUAUUAUAAGUUAAUAAUAUAUAUAUGUAUAAGAGUAAAGUCAGUCUUACCGCUAGUACGCCUCAUUCACGAAGCCGGUCUAUAAGGUGGGUAUAAGGUUGUUGCCUAUAAAAUGGCAACUUAAUGGGUGUCCACUCUCACCCACCGCUUGCUUGACUGGUGGAGGGUCGUUAGCCGAACGGGUUUGACAGGACUAGAAUUCUCCCUUCAUUAAAAGUAUUAAUGAUAAUACUAAGUAACUAAACUCUUAAUAAUACCCAAUCUUAGUUACUUAGGAAAAAUGUGAAUAAGGUGCUAAUCCAUGAAAUUACACUUUACACUUUGUCUAAGUCGUUAGUGGAGCGUGUGUGGUUAACCGGCACACUAACUUGGACUUAACAAGGUAGGUAAAGGGUGACUUAAUAUUUAUCAUAGUAUCGAUGGAGCGUGUGUGGUUAACCGGCACAUCGAUUGAGGGGUAAUUUAUUAAGGGUACCAAGUGAUUUGCAUGGUUACUUCACACCUUGUUUUGUGAUCCUCGGCAUCCCAGUCACAAAACCUGAAGGGCACACUCGAGAUUGAAACAUGCCUUUGAAAAGUUCAAUGAAUCUCAAAGAUCUAGGAGUUUCAAAACCAAUUAAAACCUAAUAAUACAUUUCGUUUAUCUUGGUGGAAAUUGGUGAAUCGUCAUUCACCUACCUUCAAAUAUUUUAUAGCUUGGAUUACGGCAUACCUCUUCUAAGUUAUAAAAUAGUUUGUUGGGUCCUAGCCUUAAUAUUUCAUAUUGGGUGUCAUAUUAAGGACUUUAAAUCAACUAUCUUGAAUAUCUCCCAAAAGAUGUCUGUAAUAGACACCUAUGAUCUUCCCAAAUCUAGUGAAACAAGGUUUCCUAAAUGAAGAUGAUGUCCUUUGGAAAUCAUACUUCUUUCACCUCCUCCAAUUAUUCUCCCUAACCCACAAGUUCUUGAAAAGUUUAAGGUCACUCAAGCCCUAUUGGCAAGGCAAGGUCUAGGUGUGAUCACAUCUUGGAGAUGUAGUCACAUAUUGACAAGCCGGGAGAGUUGGGUGUCAAAGUCUUGAGAAAGUUGGUGGUUCAAUCACUUUCUAAGUCACAUAGUGAGUUCCUUUGGGACACCUAUGAAACAGACUAUGACAAGACCCUUAAUGAUCUUAUCUAUUUGCUAAGAUCAACUUCCUAAAACUUUAUGGACAUUGACAAUGAUGACAUUGGAUAUCCAGUAAAGCAUUCUCUUCCCAAUGGAAAGGGAUCGGCCAUAGUCAACUCGGUUGACCAAAUGGUAAAGAGAAAAGCUAAGUCUGUGAUAGUCUCGUGUACCAUUAUCAAAGGGUCCAUAUGUUUAUAUUGCCAAGGGAAGGGGCAUUGGUUGCGAAGCUGCCAAAUUUACCUAAGGAUGUUAAAGUCAAUAAGUUUGACUCUACUUCAGGUAAAGACCACUAUCUAACUCUGUUAAGUUUCUAUUCUGAGAUUCCUGAUACAUGAUGUGACUGGGUCACAUGGUGAUGUUUUAAGAAUCAAAGAAAAGUGAAGAAACUUAAAGAAAGAAUAUGCUGAAUCUGAUGGCGUAGAUGGAUUUCUAUCGCAUAGUUUGAAGAUCGGAUUCUUGAGCAACUUCUUAGGAGUUAUGAGAUAUUGCUUAGGAAUAGAUAACAACAAGUUUUCAUAUGGAUUGUAAGGAUAAGUUUUUCCGCAAAGUUUUAAAAUAAAAGAAAAUUUUUUUGAUUUUAUUUAUUUUAAAAUAUCCUUACAAUGGCUUUUGAGGAAAAAUUGUUGCUUAUAUGAUUCCAUUAAGAGCAAGAGUGGAAAUAUGAAAUUGAUUCUUUCAUUUGUGGUAAUGUCUAGAUUUACCAAAUAAGGAAAGAUUCUCAUCACCCAAGUUUCAAUUGGACCGGAACUUGGAAUCAUGCAAGUUGUAUAGCAUGAUGAAUGAGAACUUUCAAGUUUUGGAAAAUUAAGACUAAUUACUCGGCCACAUGGAUGUGUGAGUCAAGUAAAGGACUAAGGGAUCGAGUACACAUUCUUGUGCACUGAUUAAGUCCACCACAAAAGAUUGAUAAGACUAUUCGUCAUAGUUUACUAAAGCUCAGUAAAUAUGAUUAUACUUACAAGCUUAAGUGUAACUCUGAGACAUUGGAAAAGGUUCCAAUGUAUGGCAGGGCGAAUAAGAAGAAUCAAAUAAGGCAGAAGGAUAAAAGUUUCUCAAAUCUGAAAAGAUGGGAGAGUACUUUAGUAUCAGUUUUGUGAUCAUCUUAAUGAUUAAGAAACCAUAUCAAAAUUAGUUCUCUAAGGAAAUCUUAGUGCAUUCUUAUGACUAAGAAGAGGAACUUGAAUUGUUGAAAUGGUUAAAUCAAGAAGAUGAGUCAUACUUCGUUCCAAUACAAGUCUUAGAGUCAUACUCCAAGAUUGUCAUUUGAGUGACAUGUCUUAAAGAAGGUUUAAAACACUUGUCAAAUGUAAGAGUAAAAGUUUUCUACUCUUGUACAUUUGAAAUUGGUAAGUUGUGAUGUUUUGGAUAAAACAAAGACCAACUUAGGCCAAUUGGGUAAAGUGUUUUUCUUGAUUAGAAUCCGCACUAUCUCUUGGAUGUUUGACAAGGGAGUCUUAUAUGUCAAGAGGACAGUGGGAGUCUUAAAGGUCUUGAAAGUCUCAAGAACUAAUCAAGAAUAAAACCUAAAGUUCUUCACUAGCACACAACUUGAGGUUCAUAACCUAUCGUGUUGACAUAUUCUGUGCCCAUUCCAGUUAAAGUUGGCUUUGCAUAUGAGUUCUUAGAGUUCUCAAUUUGUUGCACAACAACUUGGAAGCAAUGGUAGGCCCUUGAGCUGCCAGGUGGCAAGAAAUUAAGAUUGAGUUCAGUCCAUAUGAGUUUGGAUUUGUCAUUAUCCUUGUCUUGUGACUAUGGUUUUGACAAUUCACAUGGAUAAGAACACAUACACCAUUAAAUCUAAGUGUCAUAAGGUUUCUCUCCGAUUCAUGAAAAUGAUGGUGAGGAAACACUUUCACUAAGUAGAUUUUAGCUAGAUAGCAAUUGUGAUAUUUGCAUUCUCAAAGUCGUUAGUGGAGCGCGUGUGGUUAACCGGCACACUAAUUUGGACUUGUGAGAAGUGGCAAAAAGGUCUAAACAUUAUGAUUACGGCAUCCCUCUUCAUAAUUGUUUAGAUACACAAGUGUGCUAUCUAAGGGAAGGUGUAUGAUUUUGAUAAAGCUUUAUCAAAACAAUCUAGCAUCAGAAAUCUGAACUUUGGUAAGAAAGUCAAUGAAGUAUUGAUUUCUAGAAGUCCAGCUGAUUUCUGAGUACAUGUCAAAGCUAGUGGGAGCAUAAGUGUUAUGCUAAUAAUCAUCAUGUUAGUGGGAGCAUGAUAAUUAUGAUAAGUAUUGCAAGUUAGCAAUGUUAAUUAUAGAAAACAAAAGUUUCAAUUGGGAAAAAGUUGUUUUGCUAUAAUUAAGGGAGAGGAAAUUAUACUUCAUCUCAAAUCUAUAAGCUUAGAUCGUGAGGUUUUAAUCAUUUAGUCAAGGAUAUAUAUGAAUUUCAUGUUGGAAUGGCUCAACAUAAGGAAAUUCUGUAUAUGGGUCCAUUAUUUGCGUUCUAAAAUUCGAUUAUGAUUACGGCAUCCCUUUUCAUAAUCUGAAUUAUGAGAACUUGGCAAAUUGAAAUGGAAAUAUUAUAGCAAAAGACUGGUUUAGUCUUUAUGUGAGACAUCAUGAAUCGUGUCCCAUAUGCUUCGGAUAUAGGAUCGAUUACAUGUGCUAUAUUCAUCCGUUCUAAAAUUUUCCAAAUGCCUGGGGCAUUAAGAAGGGAAAAGGUUUAGAACUGGAUAUGACUAAAAGGAUUAAACAAUUGUCGAGGACAAUCUAAGGUUUACCAAAGAUUGGUUGCUCAAGGACAGUUGGAAGUAUAGUGAUAAUUCUGGAAGGACCAUAUUGACAUAAUCUGUAAGGAGGCAACUCUUGUUCAGAAGUGAUAGUCAAAAUGGAAUCUGGAAAUGUUUCAAAGUUAGAAUUUUCAAUCUGUUUAAGAUUAGGAAACUUAAUGCAAGAAGGAUGUUUCCAAGGAGCUGAUCUCCUUUGGAAUACUCUGUAAUGAUUGUUGUCAAGUCUUUCUGACUUUGUGCAUAAUCAUUACAAGAGGAUCAAUGCAUAUAAGUUUAGAAUCUAACAGAUUUCAGUAAAUGGCAUGAAUUUGGAAUUCUUGCAUUUGCAGUAAGGAUUUGGGAGUGUGAAAAGAGAAUCAUUGAAGUUAUGUUCAAUUGAUCUAGUUCACAAAGUAAAGAUCAUAGACAAACAUAGUAUGCAUACUUGGUGUGUGGCAUGACUAGUGUUUAAGAAAACAUAGUGUACAUGCUUGGAGCAUGGGACAACUAUUGUUUUAAAUUCAAGAAUAAAGUUGAUAGCUGAAACAGUAUACAAUGAAUAAUGUGUAAUCAUAUGGUGAUAAAUAAAAGGUGUUUUAUUUAUGUUCAUAAGUUUUGAUACCAUAUUGGAUUCAAUUAUUAUUGUGUUUCACUUUGCAUGUUUUGACUUCCCGAAUAAACUAGGUUAUUCUUCCGGAAUGACUAAGUUAUUCAAACCAUCCACAGUCGGUCAUAUGUUGGAAGUAGAUAUGAAUUAAGACUGUCAUGGGUUGGCUUGUAGAGGUCUAAGGUGUUGGACAAAGGGCUACAACACUCAUGAGUGCUCAUAAGUUCUGAGUAUUGGAUUCAACCCGCGCUCAUUGGAAUCACUUCAUGGAUUUUAUCACGAGUGAUCAUGAGACGAUAAUAUCUUAUAUUCUUCAAACCUAGAGAUAUGAGUUGUUACUAUGAGUUGGUUGUACAUUGAUUGCACGAAAACGCAUUUGGUAACUCGGUGCUAUAAAACGUGCCUUUGUGUAUGAUUCAACAAGUAGUAGAACAAGCCAUAUGAGUCGAAGUUUAUCCAUUCCUUUUACCUUCGGGAUAAAAGCGAUAUCUGUGGGCCCCUCGAUGAUUUGAUGAUGACAAAUGGAAGUGCUCGGCCGGGCCAGGACUGAUUUGAUUUGUUCAAUUAGUCAGUCGUCAUAAAUCGGAAAUCGGGAAACAACAAAUGGACAGAGAGAAUGAUUAUAAUCCAUGUCUCAGUCCAUAUGAUAUCUAGAAUGGAGGAAUAUAUGAUCCCUUAUCUAAUGGACAAGUCAUUGACAAAGGUCAGAGUUCAUCUACAAGGUCAGAGUUCGACAGAAGCUUUUGAGAGCUACGAUUGCCAGUUGGUUCCUGAAGUCAUACGCAAUAAUAGUUUUAGACUUAUCCAAGUGGGAGACUGUUGGAUUAAUGUCUAAGUCCAUAACUAUAAUUGGUAAGACUUGACCCGACCUGGCAUGGUCCAUUUGGGUUGCAUGGCAUCAUGCACUUGGAUAGACUAAAAUGAGAGAAAUAACACUUAAGGUUUAUUAAUAUAUUAUAAGUUCUAAUAUAUUAAUAAGGUUAUUUAAUUAUUAUUGAUCAAGAAUUAAUUUGGAAUUAAUUAAGUGAUCAAAAGGAGACUAAUUAAAUAUAUUGGUUGAUUGUGUAAAUCAUUCAUUCUUAUAUAUGUGCGCUUGUGAUCCAAGAUUCCUUAUGUUAGACUAUGUCCAUGGGGUGACCCAUGGAUGCUCCAUGGAGGUUAAAAUCCAGGGAGCAUAAGGAAUGGGUAAAGUCAUGAGUUACAUGGUGUAACCCUAAUAGCCAACAUAUAAAAGAAACCCAUGGCUCAAGAAAUCGUACGCUAUGGGUGUGUGUGUAAGGGCUAAACGAUUUCAUGGAGUGUUCAAAUUUCUCUCUAAGUUAUUCCAAGUGCUUAUGGUGUUGUGUGAACCAUUUGAGGUGUCACACUUGGGGCACUAGGCACUCAAGCUUCAUGAAGACAAGCACCAACAAAAGGUAUGUUAUUCUAAAUUGUGUUAUUCAAAGUUUUGUAUGCUAGAAUAGAACAAUACCUUGAAAGUUGAUAUUUGCAUGUAUAAUAGAGAAAACAUAGAUGCAAGGAAUUUAGGGUUGCAUGUACACUUAGGAGUGUUAGAUUGCUCAAAACCCAACACUUGUAACAUCCAUAAAUUUUACACCGGUUUAAAACUUUUUCAACCAUAAAUGAAAGUCAAAUUGCAUUGUUUACAAAAACGUUUUCAAAUAAAUAUCCAUCAGAGUGUCCCAAAAUCAUAACAUAAGGAUGAGGAGCGGUACGGUCACGCCUUCGCCUUUGCAUGAUCUCCUGAAGUACCUGAAACAAUAAACUGAAAACUGUAAGCCCGAGGGAUUAGUGAGCUACCCCCGAAAUACCAAUACCACACUGACAAUACCAUAUCAGUAACAAUGUAUCAAUCAAUCAACAUACAUACUAGCCAUCAGCCUGACUGGACCGCCCUACUGGGCCUAUAGUCUAUCCGAAUCUAUCCCGAGCCUUCGGCAUGACUGGUCCGCCUCGUGGACCUACAGUCUCCCCGGACCGCUCAUAGGGUAUGUUGGCCUACAGCACAAAGGAGGACCGCCUCAACCCAACCAACAAGCAAAUACUAUGUGCGUAUAACUGUCAUAUACUGGCAUAUAUAAACAUCAAGCAUAACUAUCACUGGUCAUCAAUCAUAGAAUUCUCUCGUAACUAGAGUACCGACCUAGCAGGUCACGAGCAUACCAAUCCCUACGGAUCAUAAGAGCAUAGCAUACGGUCUACCCUGAUUCCGAUCUAACAGAUCAUAACCACAUAUAGCAUACCAUAACAAUAACAACUAAAGGGCCGACCUUGGUGCCGUAGACCCUAUCGAUAUAGUGAGGAUAACUCACCUUGCAAAUGUCGACUCGAAAGAUACACUCCAACUCUCGGAUCACCCGACACCGGCUUCACCACCUAUGAUCAUAGUACAAUAUACUCAUAAGUCCUUAACCUUAUAAGGUACCCUAUAACCCACUAGUCAACCCCUGAUCAAAGUCAAAGUCCUCAGUCAAGGUCAACUAUCCAUGUUGACCUUGACUCGCCGAGUACCCUCGGCUACUCGUUGAGUUCCCUGGAGUACAUUCCAACUCGCCGAGUCAUCGGAGUGACUCAUCGAGUUCCUUCGAUUCUCGAUCAAACUUUAAGGCCACCCAUCAACUUCCCUCCUUGCAACUCGAUGGAUACACACUCAUACAUAUCCAAGAGAAAACUCAUCCGACUCGCCGAGUUGUUCUUCAACUCGUCGAAUCUUAUGACGAUCUUCAUCGGACUCGCCGAGUUGUUCAUCCAACUCGUCGAGUCUUAUGACGAUCUUCAUCGGACUCACCGAGUUGUUCAUCUAACUCGUCGAGUUCAUGGCCAUCUUCAUGUGACUUAUUGAGUCAACUUUUCGACUCGCCGAGUACAUUCAGUCCUCUUUCCAUACAGACUUGUUUUGAGCCAUGCAGCGGCUCCAAAUCACAGAUCCAAGCUUCUAGGGCAUGCUUAUCACGUAAAGUUGCAAAAUCUACGUGCAUGCAUGGCCUUGAAGGCACCAAAUGCCAAAUCUAAGUUCUUAAUGGGGCUUCAUGCCCAAGAGGGACCUCAAUCACAACCAAAACUGUGACUUUAUGCUCCUAGAAUCCAAGGAGGGUCCAGAUCUGAAGUUACAACUUCAGAUCUAGCCCAUAGCUCAUCAUACCAACUUGAAAAUCCAUAAAAAGCCCUACAAACUCAACAAAAGGGAAAAAGGAAAGUAAGGAUGGCACUUUGAUACCUCCAAAGGAUGCUAGCUGAGGUAAAUCCUACUUUCCAUGCCUUCCUUGCUUCAAUUCCUUUGCACUCUCAACUUUCUUCCUCCAGGAUUCUCUUUCCAAGCUUCAAACACCACACCAAAGCACCCACACACAUAUAAGGACUCUCAGGACUCUCUAGAACUGUAAAGAGACCCAAGGGAGGCUAGGGUCCUUUUAAAUAGGGGUGCAAACCCCGAGAUUCAGGGUUUCAUCUGCCAACUCCUACUCGCCGAGUCCCAAUAUGGACUCGUCGAGUAGGUCACUUAACACGCGAUCCCAUCCCGCUGCUACUCGAUGAGUAGGUCAACCAACUCGUCGAGUAGAGCUUAACCCAAUAAAUCUUAUUUAAGCAAUACCUGAGAAUCGAGGCGUUACAAUUUGGACAGUGAUUGUUUUUGCAUGUAGAAUACUUGAAUCUGCCAUAUAAACUGCUUUUUUUCUCUUUCUUUUGUUCUAUUGAUGGUUUUCCGUUUUCUCAAGGAGGAGGGAGUCAUUCCCUCCCAACCCACUGAACCUACUGCCACAUCAACUUUUUUCUUUAAUUUUUCUUCAUCUUUCCCAACCCACAACACAUGGAAAUCCUAUCUUUCUCAACCCAUUCAAUUAAAAAAAAAUACAAAAUGAUUAAGGUAAAAUCUUAAUUAGCAAUAGAGUUACCGUCGGUCCCAUUCCCGCUUUAACGGGUUGUUUAAUUGGUUUCACUAACCCACUUCAUCCACACUCUCUCUCUCUCUCUCUCAUUUUCUCUUCUACCAUGUGUUUUAAGACGUGCACUUUAGUUGUUUAGUAUUUUUUUUAAUUGAAUGGGUUGAGUGGGUUGAGAAAGAUAGGAUUUCCAUGUGUUGUGGGUUGGGAAAGAUGAAGAAAAAUGAAAGUGAAAAGUUAAUGUGGCAGUGGAUUCAAUGGGUUGGGACGGAAUGACUCCCUCCUCCCUCAGUGGUUCAUAUUGACAUAGAGAAUGUAAAUGUUGAAGCAAAUCCAUGAUAUGAUUGACUUUUCAAUCUUGAGAAUUGGGUUAGCAUUCAUGAUCUGGCAGAUCUGCUAUGACUUCAUGUAUGGAUUUUUUUUUUCUGGAAUUUUAGUUCCAAUGGCUACUUGUAUCUACUUCUUUGCAAACAUGAUCAUAUUAACUUAUCCUAAAUGAAGUGAGGACAUGUUAUUUAUUUUUUUUAUUUUUUCCUUAUUAAAUUUUGCAUGGAUAAAUGAUGUGACAGGAAUAAGUGUCGUAUUUUUCUUAAUGAGAGUAAAUGACCACUUUUCCCUUGAGUAAUCAUAUUUCCUUUUCUUUAUGCCCUUCAAGAAAACUUAUGUUGCGGAUCUUGAUGACAUAUUUGGCCACUCUGUUUCUAGUGCUAGAAUUUUUGUUUGUUGGACACAACUCAAUAGAUCGUCUGAACGAGAGUAAAUGACCAUUUUACCCUAGACUAAAUCACAUUUUCUCUUCUUUAUGAUGGAUCUGAUGGGUUUUAGCCAUAAGAACUUUCCUAUGUGCGCAUGCAAAACCCUAAUGCUUGGAUCUAGGCUUUCUAAUAAACAUGCUUUUGAAUCCAAGACUUCUAAUAACUAAUUAGGUCAAAUAACAAAAUUGAAACAGAUCUUGAAUCAUACCUUUGAAUCCCUUGUUGAUCUUGUUUGUCUUGGAGCUUCUAGAGUCACAAUUGUCACUCCUCUAAUGGCUUACAAACACCAAUAGCAAGCAAGAUGAUUUAGGAGAGAGGAGAGGGGAGGAAUUCGGCUAGAGUAUCCUUGCUUAAGGUUGUGUGUCGAAUUCCCUCACCCAUAGGGUCUAUUUAUACUUGUAGACUCCUUAAGGGUUUCACCCUAAACCCUAAUUGGAUAAUCUUCUCUUAAGGCUAUCCAAAUCCAUUCCAUAGAUAACCAUAUGGACGAUUUGAGCUAUCCUAAAUCUCUUAGAAUCCGUCCAAGGUCCAUCUUAAUGGAUUUACAGUCUAAAGUCUAACUAUCAAACAAUUGACAGUUUAUACCCUCUUAUUUAAUUAAUCUCUUUAAGUCACCAAAUUAAUACCAAUUAAUUUAUGACUUAUAUUAAUCAAAUAGCUAAAUAUUAUUUCUUAUAAUAUUUACUCUCUCUUAACAAAUCAUCCUUCAAGUUGCUAUGGUGAAGGCAACCCAAAAGGACCAUGCACAACCGAAUAUAGUUACAGCCUUAGACACUAUUCCAACAGUCUCCCACUUGGAUAAGUCUAGUAACUAUACAAGUACAAUUCGGUUUGCAAUCGUAGCUCUCAAAGACGCUGUCAACUCUGAUCUAAUCAAUCUUGUCCUUUAGAUAAGGGAACGUACAGUCCUCUGUUAGAUAUCAUGCUGACAAUCCUAUGGAAUGGUUAGUCAAGCAUUUAGGUUUCUCGAUCUCUGAUUUAUUUGACAUAGAACUUAAUCGAACACAUCAAUUCAGUUCUGACCGGGCCCGGCACAUAAGUCAAAUCAAAUCAUCGAGCGGCCGAGAUAUCGCUUUUACCUUCUUAGAUAAAAGUUACAGAUAAACUUCGACUUAUAUGCAUUUACUUAUUCAUUAACCAACUAUACACAACAAUACGUUUUAUAACAUCAAGUUACUGAUGCGUUUUCGUAUUAUCAAUGUACAAUCAAUUAACAAAUAAUAAACCAUAUAUCUAGGUUUUAAGACUAUAUGAUAUUAUCGUCUUGCGAUCACCUUUUAUAUCGUAUUCCAUAAGGUGAUUCCAGCAAGCGCGGGUUUAUUCCAAUGCUCAAAACUAGUUCAUAAGCACUCAUGAACGUUGCAGCAAUCCUUUGCUAUGUCUAACACCAUUUAGACAUUCUACACACCAAUUCAUGACAAUCUUCUUUCAUAUCUACUCCCAACAUAUGAACGAUUGUGGACCAUUUGAAUAAUUCGAUUAUUCCUAAUAAACUCAAUUAUUCUGGAAGUCAAAACAUGCAAAGUGAAACAAUAGCUAAACAAUUAACAUAAGAUAGUAACAUUACUCAUAAAUAAAACUCCUUUAUUUAAUCAUCAAAUGUCAAUUACAUUUAUCUAUUACACGUUUCUAAUACUAUCUAAUCUAUGCUAAUAUCAUCCUUCAGCCCAAUACUCCUAGCAUGCUGCAAGUGCUUAACCCUACUCAGUCCCUUCGUAAGCGGAUCUGCUGGGUUAUCUUCUGAUGAUAUCCUCUUCACUACGAGUUGUCCUUCUUCUACACGAUGUCUAAUGAAGUGAUAUUUUCUGUCGAUAUGUCUUGAUCUACCAUGAUCCCUCGGUUCCUUGGUCAAGGCAACCGCUCCUUCGUUAUCACAGAAAAUCUCCAUGGGCUCCUUUAUGGCAGGUACAACUCCAAGAUCACCGAUGAAGUUCUUUAGCCAUAUUGCCUCCUUCGACGCUUCGCUCGCUGCAAUGUACUCUGAUUCGCACGUUGAAUCAGCUACGGUUUCCUGCUUGGAACUUUUCCAUGUCACUGCUCCUCCAUUUAGGGUAAAGACCCAGCCCGACUGCGAACGGUAGUUGUCCCUGUCGGUCUGAAAACUGGCGUCACUAUACCCUCGCACCUUCAAGUCAUCACUCCCUCCGAGGACUAAGAACCAUUCCUUCGUCCUCCGAAGGUACUUAAGGAUAUUCUUCACCGCAAUCCAAUGUGCUUUGCCAGGAUUCCCUUGAUAUCUGCUAACCAUGCUCAAAGCGAAGGCUACAUCAGGGCGAGUACAAGUCAUAGCGUACAUGAUUGAGCCAACUGCGGAAGCGUAUGGUACUCGGCUCAUUUCUGCUAUCUCAGCUUCGGUACUCGGACUUUGAGUCUUACUCAAUUUGGCAUUACUUUGUAUCGGUAGUUCUCCCUUCUUUGAGUUUUCCAUACUAAAACGUUUUAGUACCUUCUCUAAGUAAGUAUUCUGACUAAGUCCAAUUAGUCUCUUACUUCUUUCUCUUACUAUCCUUAUUCCCAAAAUGUAAGAAGCCUCUCCGAGGUCCUUCAUAGCGAAGCACUUCCCGAGCCAGGACUUAACUUCCUGCAGAGUCGGGAUGUCGUUUCCUAUGAGUAAUAUGUCAUCGACAUAUAGAACGAGGAAGCUUACUAUACUCCCACUGGCUUUGACAUAUACACAAGAUUCGUCUUCGCUUCGUACAAAUCCAAACUCUUUGACUUUCUCAUCGAAGCAAAGAUUCCAUCUGCGAGACGCUUGCUUAAGUCCAUAAAUGGACUUCUCAAGCUUACACACUCUAUUCGGAUGCUUCGGAUCCACAAACCCCUCUGGCUGAGCCAUGUAAACAUCCUCAGCCAACUUUCCGUUAAGGAAAGCGGUCUUGACAUCCAUUUGCCAAAUCUCAUAAUCAUGAAAUGCGGCAAUUGCUAGCAUCACUCUAAUAGAUUUAAUCUUCGCAACUGGUGAGAAGGUCUCAUCAUAGUCAACUCCGGGAGUUUGAGUAAAGCCCUUCGCAACCAAUCGCGCUUUAUAUGUGUGUACGUUUCCAUCCACGUCGGUCUUCUUCUUGAAGAUCCAUUUGCACCCAACGGUCUUACGUCCGGGCACAUAAUCAACCAAAUUCCAAACUUGGUUAUCAUACAUGGAUUGGAUCUCGCUAUCCAUUGCCUCUUUCCAUUUUGCAGACUCCGGGCCUGCCAUGGCUUCCUUAUAGCUAUUAGGUUCAUCAAGAUUUAUUAGUGUACCAUCACUAAUAUACGUGUCCCCUUCGGUAGUAAUAUGAAAACCAUAAAACUGGGGUUGAACUCUAACUCUAUCGGAACGUCUAAGAGGUAAGGAUUCGUCAAUCGGUUCAACCGGAGUUUCCUCCUCGGGUUGAGUGCCAGCGGUAGAGGUUCCUUCAUCUAUCGACUCUUGAAUCUCUUCAAGCUCGAUUUGCCUCCCACUGUCUCCUUGGCUUAUGAGUUCUCGCUCUCGGAAAACUCCUCUCCUCGCAACGAAGACAACAUUGUCCUUCGGUCUAUAGAAGAGAUAUCCAAAGGAUGUCUGCGGGUAGCCGAUGAAAAUACAUCGCUCACUUCGAGGUUCAAGCUUGUCGUGAGUAUCUCGUCUUACGAAAGCCUCGCAACCCCAAACCUUGAUAUGUGCCAACGAGGGAGCUUUCCCUGUCCACAUCUCGUGAGGUGUUUUGGCAACCUUCUUAGUAGGGACUCGGUUAAGGAUAUGGGCGGCAGUCUCUAAGGCAUACCCCCAAAAAGAGAUAGGUAGUGAAGCACGACUCAUCAUAGAGCGAACCAUAUCCAAUAAGGUUCGAUUACGCCUUUCUGCCACACCAUUCAACUGCGGUGUCCUAGGAGGCGUCAAUUGCGAAACUAUUCCACACUCCUUGAGAUAAUCGUGGAAUUCAAGACUUAGGUACUCUCCUCCUCGAUCGGAUCGAAGCAUCUUGAUUUUCCUGCCCAAUUGAUUCUCCACUUCAUUCUUGAACUCUUUGAACUUUUCAAAGGUUUCUGACUUUUGCUUGAUUAAGUAGAUAUACCCAUAUCUACUAUAGUCAUCGGUAAAAGUCACAUAGAAGCGGUUCCCAUCCUUCGUGGUUGAUCUAAACGGUCCACAUACAUCGGUAUGUAUUAGGUCCAAUAGACCCUCGCCCCUUUCACAUGUACUCGUGAAGGGUGACUUAGUCAUCUUUCCAAGCAAACAAGACUCGCAUGUGUCAUCUUCCCUAAGGUCGAAUGACUCCAACACUCCAUCCUUUUGGAGUUGGGCUAUGCGUUUCUUGUUGACAUGUCCAAGACGACAAUGCCACAAGGAUGCUUUAUCCAUACUAGUGGAAGAAUCAAUAUUCAAAACAUCAUUUCCUAAGUUAUCAACAAUCAUAACGGUUUCAUAUAUUCCAUUACAUGGUAUAGCUUCAAAGUAAAAGACACCAUUUAGAUAAGCCAAAAUAGAACCAUUCUCAUUAUUAAAAGAAAAUCUAAAUCCUUGUCUAUAUAAACCAUGAAAUGAAAUGAUGUUUCUUGCCAUUUCUGGCGAAUAGCAACAAUUGUUCAAAUCUAAAACUAAACUAUUCCUAAGCACUAAGGAAUACACUCCAAUCUUGGUCACAGGCGACGAUCUUCUGUUCCCCAUGAUUAGAUUGAUCCUUCCUUGCUCCACAUCCCUACUUCUUCUUAGUCCCUGCACAUUAGAACAAAUGUGAUAACCACAACCGGUAUCAAGAACCCAAGAAAUAGCAUGAUUAGAAUCGUUAGAUUUGAUUGUAUAUAUACCUGCGAAAGAUGGCUUGAUCUUUCCUUCUUUGAUUGCUUGCAGGUAAUCCGGGCAGCUUCUCUUCCAAUGUCCUAUCUUGUGGCAGUGGUGGCACUCUGCCUCCUUCGGGUUAGAGCAGGGCUUGGCGGGAUCAACUUUGGUCCCACUAGAAGAGGCACCAUCUCGGGCUUUCACCUUGCGAUAGUUCUUCGAUGAAGCUUUCCUCUUCUUUCCCUUCCCUUGUCCAAUAGCCAAGACAGGAGCAGCGGGCGGAUUGGGAGUAGGUGCAACAGACUUGUCUUUGAAGUUGCUCUCAGCAACCCUCAAGAGACCUUGGAGCUUGCUUAGGGUGACCUCUUCUUUGUUCAUGUGGUAGGUCAUCCUAAAUUGGUUGUACAUCGGAGGCAAAGAGUGAAGCACCAUGUCGAUCGCCAAGUCUUCACCGAAGUCAACAUUUAACUUGCGGAGGCGGUCAACAUACCUUUGCAUCUUUUGCAAGUGCACGGUAAGAGAUUCUCCAUGACCCAUCUUCGCGGAAAUCAUGUUAGUGAAAAUCUCGUACCUCUCUUGUCUCGCGUUUUGGUGGUACCUCUCCAAUAAGUCUUGAUGCAUCUCGUACGGGUACAUGUCCUCGUAGGACUUUUGGAAUUCGGAGUUCAUGGUGGCGAUCAUGAUGCAAUGUACCUUCGUUGCAUCUCGCUCAUGAGUUUCAAAGGCGGUGAUUUCGGCGGGAGUAGCAAUUUCGGGGUUGAUUUUCUCGAGCUUCUCAUCGAGGACAUACUCCUUAUCCUCAUAGCGAGCAAUGGUGCGAAUGUAUCUUAUCCAUUCGCUAAAGUUCGUUCCAUCGAAGGUGACCUUUUGGCAAAGGCUCAUCAACGUGAAAGAACUAGCAGCAGCGUUGUUUGCGUUCGACAUCUACAAUUAGAAAAGGACAAAGAUAGAUUAGAAUAAGAAUCCCUAAUUAUCACCCAAUAAGAAAAUUAGGGCUAGGAUCCAACAAUAACAUUUACAUACUAGAAAAGGGAUGCCGUAAUCUAACAUGCAAAUAAAUUGAAGGUAAGUGAAUGACGAUUCACUAAUUCUCCAUCACAAAACUUAAACUAUUAGUCCUAAGUGUUUUUGAGAAUUCCUAGGUUCGGAUGAGAUUCAUUGAAACUAUUCAAUGGCAUGUUUAAAUCUCGAUAUGCCCCUCUUGUUUGUGACUGGGAUGCCGAGGAUCACAAAGCGGGUGUGAAUUACCAUGCAAAUUCACAUGGUGCCUUCAUUGUAACAAUCACCUAUUCGAUGUGCCGGUAAACCACACACGCUCCAUCGAACUAUGAUAAACAAUGAAUCACCCUUUGCCACCUUCGCUUAGAACCAAUUAGUGUGCCGGUAAACCACACACGCUCCACUAACAUCUUAGCAAGGUGCAAAGUGUAAUUUCAUGGGAUUGCAUCAAUUC